UGGGCAUUUCCUCCAUAUUUCCUGAUAACCCCCUACAGAAAUAGACAAACACCAAAACUCAUGGAAUUCUGUCAGAUAAAACCCUAAGUCUAGGUGUCGGUUGCAUUUGGAUCCUUUUCCAUGAUUAGUUGACGGUUAAAUGUGAGCAUUAAGGACCGUCAACAAGCUCCCCCAAGCUUAUCCUUUGCUCGUCCCUGAGCAAGGAUGGACUCAAGAGUUUCUGCAGUGGUUUCAUGCCUUAAAGGUACACAUGCGUUCAAACAAGAUCUCAUCUCUAGGUUAGGGUAAACUAUUAAGACAUAAACUUACUCAUUUUUCCUUCCACCAUGGGGCUUGCAACUGUCACUUGUGUCUUGAGCAGUGAAAAGAUAGAAUGAUCUAGUCAAGCGCCAUGUCUCAUGUUCUUCGAUUAACUAUAGCUCUGGAGUUUUUGUAGAUUUUCAAAUAAAACUUAGAGAUUCCUUGUAUGACUCUCUCUAGUAUCUCUUUUGUGUUAUUUCUGGAUCCUUACCAAUGCAGUAAUGGUGUAUGCCUUCUCUCAAAGUAUGUGGUAUUUUUGGUAUGAGGCAUAGUGGCAUUGCCUUCUCUCUCACCCUACUCUAAUAAGGUUUUGAUAUCUGGAGCUCAUAGGUGGGAGACAGCUAAUACAUACUUACAAGACAUUUAUUGCAUAGUCAAACCAUGGAUCCAGAAGAACAAGUCAAUAAGUUAAAUCAAGAUGUGCAUGUGUGGUGAAUGAAUGGUGAUAAUGGUGAAAGUCUAAUUCUACUUUUUCUCUUUUGAGGGGGUACAUACCUUCCUUGCACUUGAGGCUUUUGAGGGGAAUGAGAUGCUCUAUAUUUUUUUUCUCUCAGGUUGGUAUCUUGUACCCCUAAUUCUACUGUCGGACACUUGUCCAUUUUUACCUCUCGUCUCACUUUUUCUUCUUUUUUUUCGAGGUUUCGGGCACUUGUCCCUUUUUAUUUCCUCGUAUUCACUUUUUUUAGAGCACUCAUCCACCUGGAAUAAUGUAGCAAGUGGUAGUAACCAAAAUAUCUCAAGCAUUUAUUUCACGGGGAAUAACAGGGAUAGGAUAAUGUUUUUGGCUAUUCUCUCCUAGAUAGGAGUAGAAUAAUUUUGGGUGAAUCUGAAUAUGGAAAUGAGUGGAUGUAUGUGGAUGCGUACUUCCGGAGUAGAAGCAGCAUGUACGCAUGACAAGCUCCUAAGGGUCUACACAGUUUGACCACACUCAAUGCUCAUAAGCAGUAAAAAGUAAAUGUAUGGUUCAUAGUCUAAUAAGCAUGCAUAUAUGGCUGUGGUAGGAUUUUAAACUCUCAUCAUACAGGAACUCAUCAUGCAACAUUUUAAAGAUUUUCAAAGAUAAAAUUCUCCAGAAUUUUAGCAUCUCUAGGAACAGAUAAACAGCAGCUCAACCUUCCCAUAUCAUAUCUGUUAAUGACUUAGACUUUAGAUCAAGUACUCUUCCCACAAGUUCAGAUUUAGAGCAAAUCUUAAUUAAUAACAGUCGUGCCUAAACUUGAGAGAGAUUUCAAUUUUGAUAACUAGUCAUGGCAGAGCAACCAUUCAUCAUUUCCAUGUGAGAGCUUAUCAUGAGGGUUCAUAGCAAACUUUAUUUAUUUAUUUAUUUAUUUAGCAAACUAAGCAAAGAUAUAUAUAUAAGCACAAAAUCAUUAUUUGGGUUUUUAUGAUUAUUCAUCUUUUUAUUGUUUGAGUAAAGUAUAAACGUGAGUAGAACACUUAGCUAGAUAAAUGGGGGUGCUCUCCUCCAAGCUGGAUUUUGACGUAAUUUCUUCUGAUGUAGCUAGCAGGUGGUGGAGUUGUAUUUGAAUGUCGGCAGCACCCUGACAGCGAUUAGGAUGUCCUCCGUCUGCUAGUCUUUUUUGAUCCUUGAAUUCUGUGGAGCUCAAAUAGAAAACUAAGCUUUGUGGAACUCAUUAGGUGUUAGCAUAAAUAUCUAGCCUUUAUCAUGUUGAGCCUCCUCAAUAAAUGCUACUUUCUUUGGUGGGAUCACAAUUUAUUUUUAUAUUUUCAUUUUUAUAGGACAGGAAUAUAUUUAUUUUAUUUUUAUGCCACCACAGUGAAUGUACUUAUGGGUUUUAUGCCAUGAGCAUACUCACAUGGAGCUUACUAUUUUUAACAUUUUUAUUUUCUUUUCAAGAUGAUAUGAACCUGAUUAACUAAGCAAACUGUUGACGGUCCUUAAUUAUCAAAUUUAAUUAUCAAAUAAAUAAAGAAAAGGAUCCAAAUGAAAUCAAGAUCUAGACUUAGGGUUUUAUCUGACAGAAUUCCACGAGUUUUGGUGUUUGUCUAUUUCUGCAGGGGGUUAUCAGGAAAUAUGGAAGAAAGGCCCACAUGUCGGGAUUACGUAAAGAUAUUAACGUGCUGCACAAUUAUCUUACAUCUAGAAGACUCCAGAAGCCACGAGACCGAAGCGGAUCAGGACUCUGCUUUGCGGGAGAUCUCCACCGACCUAAAGGAUGAAUCUAAACCAUACAAUCUAUGUCAGUUUGAUCCAAUGGCCCAUAUUCACUUGAAGGGACUAUAAAACCAGACCCCCUGGCCCCUGGAGGAAAAAGCCUCUCAACCCUAAUUCAUUGUUCCAUCAAGGGAGAAGAAGCCUCUGAUCAAGAUUAGAGCCACCACAUCAAUUAGACAUCUAGAUUAGCAUAGCUACAUAGGAUUAGAACUAGAAGGAGUCAAUCUUCGAUUGGUUUCCGGAUCUGUCAGGAGGAUUCUUGGUAAUUCUCUAAUUGUGCUUCUAAUUGCUUUCUAAUUAUCUCUGUUCUUCAAUAUUAUGAAUAUGACUUUGUUCUACUUCAAUAUAUUGCUUAUGACUUUGCUCUACUUGCUUAUAUUCAAGAUUAUAUUGUUCUUAGUUUAUCAUAGUUAUGUACUUAGCUUAGUUAGAUUGGAUCUAUAUACAUGCUUAGGAUCGUAUAGCGUUUAUCCAUCGGAUCCAUGGGUAAAUGAUAGAUAUUGUGUAGGCGUGGUGCUUAUACCGUAUUUAUCUGCGAUUGUACCCAAUAUGCCAGAUCGUGGGGUGGUUCGUGAUAGUGACAGCUUCAUUGAUUCUUAUAUAGUCCCCCUCUCGUGUAUUGGGCUGGCAGAGCAACAUUAUUACAGGGGUGUGAUUGCUAUGUUUCCCAUAUUCCUUGCUAAUAUCACUAUGCAUGGGCGUAUCUCACAAUGAUUGCUAAGUAUGCUUGCACUAACUAUGAUAUGCUAGACUAUAUAGUUAAGAAUAACUUAGGGAAUAUUCUUGUAGUUCGUUCUAAUACCAUGCUAAUGACUUUCUAGAGUAUCUAAUUGAGGUGCUUAUCAUAUUUAUUAUGUGGCUAGAUCAGAUUAGUUAUCCUUGUCACUAUUAUUAUUUCAUAUAUCUUUUAUGUGACACUUAUCCCUGUAUGAAGAGUUAGAUAUAAUGUUCUCAAUUAUACAUGCAAUGAUAGAUGCUCAAUCUCAUAUUCUAUUCUGUAAUCAAUAGUGAUGAUCGCUAAUCCCUUCCCAGUGGUAAAAAUAUAAAUAACGAUACCUGGAAUACUUCCCGGUUAAAAUGCUGCAUCGGUAUUAAUCUGUGCGCUUGCAGAUCCCAUUCAUUAUUUAUUUAGAAGAGCAAUUGCAUAUUUCAAUACCGCGUCUCUUAUAUCAUGCUGGGGAUGACAACUUGGCUUAAGUGGUGUGAGGGAUAGGUUUGACAUUUUUGGCACCGUUACUAGAUUUAGAGAACUUAGUCUACUUUUGGUAAUGAUGUUAAGAAUACCCAACAAGCAUUUUUGGCGCCGUUGCCGGGGAAGGUUGAUUACCAAUCAGGAAUGGAAUAAAAGAUUUUGAGUUAUCAUUCGCAUCACUAAUAUGAUUGAGCUUAUCUAUUCUCUCAUAUAGUUUUACCCCGAUAUUUUUCUAUUUUAUCUUAUGCAGGGGAAUGUAUGAAUAGAAGACAUCUUCCAGGAAAUUUUGUUGACAAUCCCGAAGCAUUAUUCAAGAAGACGAGGGCCAAGCUCAAGAAGAGAUCAUCAACACUUCACGAAGAAGCUUCAUCCAAUCAAGAAGAUCACCGGAACUUGUCUUCAGAGUUCGAAGCCAUGGCGAACAAAUCGAUCCGCGAGUUCUCAGCUCCCACUACGGACAACAUCCGCACUGGACCUGCUACAGAGAUCGAUGGCAACUUUGAGCUCAAGCCUGGACUUAUCAACAUGGUGCAAUCCAACCAGUUCUGUGGGAAGGCACAUGAAGAUGCUAGUGCUCAUUUACAACAUUUCCUGGAGAUUUGCAACACAUUCACCAUAGCAGGAGUUUCCAAAGACGCUAUACUACUUCGCCUCUUCCCAUUCUCACUGUUAGGAAGAGCGAAGCAGUGGUUCUACGCUACAAAGGAGAAGAAUACUACGUGGGCACUCUGCUCAACAAACUUCCUGGCUAAGUUCUUUCCCAUGGGCAAGACCAAUGCUCUCCGUGGGAAGAUUACAAGUUUUCAGCAACAAAAUGAUGAAUCUGUUCCAGAAGCAUGGGAGCGCUUUCAAGACUACAUCCUAGAAUGUCCCCAUCAUGGAAUGGAGAGUUGGCUAUUGAUGCAGACAUUCUAUCAUGGGCUCAGCAACAGUGCCCGAGAGACUAUGGAUGCUGUAGCUGGAGGAGCGUUCUUAUCACUUACUAUACCACAAGCCACAGCUCUUGUGGAGAAGAUGGCGUCCAACCAAAGCUGGAAUGAAGAGAGGACCCAGACACGCAAGAGAGGUGGAGGUAUGCAUCAGCUGAAGGAGGUAGACAUGCUGUCUGCAAAGCUAGACCUGCUCAUGAAGAAGCUCGAUGAUAGAGCUGGAGACAAGAAAGAAGUUAUGCACAUCUACGACUCUCACAUGACUUGUGAGGAGUGUGGAGACACUGGACACUCAGGCAACCACUGCCCUAAGAUGCUUGAGGAUGUGAACUACAUCAACAACAACAACUACUACUACAACCGUCCUCAACAAAAUCAAGGUUGGAAUCAACAGAGGCCGAACUACUCAGGUAAUUAUCAAGGUAACAAUUCUUACAACAACAAUAGUAAUUUUCCACCUUUGAGAGAGUUAGUGUCUAAUCAAGGAAAGCUAAUGGAUAAUCUAUCUAAGAAAUUGGCAUCUAAUGAUAAAAUGCUAGAAAAUAUAAAUAAUAGAAUGGAUAAUUUUUCUACUGCCAUCAAGAAUCAAAUUAGCUUUAAUAAAAUGAUUGAAUCUCAGUUAAAUCAAAUAGCUGCUGCUGUUCCUACUACUAACCCCGGUAUACCAUCACAAGGGGAAGGAUUAGAAUCUGCAAAUCUUGUAGACGUGUUUGAUGCAGGUAAUUGGAGUAACCCUAUCACUGAAUUUUCUACUGACCGUCUGCCGGUCAAGAGAGGCGAUCUAGGACGCCCCGUCAUCCCGAUCUCCAUCGGCAUGGAGGACUUCCCAGAAGCACUCUGUGACUUUGGCUCUAGCGUCAACAUUAUACCCAGGGUACUCUAUGAAAAAUUCUUUACAUAUCCUUUACUAGAAACAACCAUGUGUUUGCAGUUUGCAGAUCAGACGAUAACUUUUCCAAAAGGAAUAGUGAGAAACCUUUGUGUCCGAGUUGGUACCUUGUAUGCCCCAGCAGACUUCGUAGUGGUAGAGACCGGAAAUGAUGAGAGAGCACCUAUCAUCCUAGGAAGGCCAUUCUUGAACACCACGGGAGCUAUCAUCUACGCUAGUGCUGCCAAGAUCAGUUUCUACGUCAAAGGGAAGAAGGAGACAUUUUUCUUCAAGAACAAGACUACACAAAUUCAAGAUCAAUCCAGACGUAAAUCAAGGAAGAGGACCAACAGGAGAAACAGGAACAAGCAAGUGUGGACCGAGUCAGCUAAGAUGGUCACUGUAGUUCAUGGAGGCCAAGAUCACCAACUUAAGUCACCGCUUUUGACCAAGAAAGAUGACCCAGGAAUGCCAAGCAUUUACUGCUCCAUAAAUGGAUACAACUUCUACAAGACAUUUUGUGACACCGGAUCGGGAGUCAACAUAAUGGCCGCAGUCACCUAUCGGCUCUUGUUCGGGACCAUGCCACUAAGACCAACAUACAUUCAGCUCCAGAUGGCAGAUCAGACAUUUCGAGAAGUUAAAGGAAUAGUAUCUGAUGUCCCAGUCAAAAUAGACGAUCACUUUGUCUACACAGACUUUCAAGUUGUUGACAUGGGAGAAGACGAGUAUGAUCCACUCAUCAUCCUUGGAAGACCGUUCCUCAGCACCGUUAAAGCAAUUAUCUACAUUGGAACCAGAGAAGUCCAUAUGCACUUCUCCUCAGAGAAGGUACGCCGUUAUUUUACUGACCCUAACUAUAUCAUUGAAGAAUCUAAGCAGGUAAGAAAACGACGCAACCGCAACCAGAGGAGGCAGAUCAUCAAGGACAGAUGGGCAGACUACGAAGGAGAAGUGAUAAGAUCAGAAGACGUUGAGUUUAAACAGAAUUAUCCAGAGGAGAUUGAAGCACCAAGUCAGGUAUGGAAAAUGAAGAUAACUAUACAAGAAGAGGAGGCACUGCCGGAAGUACCGACUACGCCACCCAACGAACCUCAGGACGAUUAAGAAAAUGGAGAGUCCCGUUCGGAGGACUUAAAAACACCGAACGCCUUGCCAAGAGGUAAACUUGGUAGUUAUCCUUUCCCUUUCAAUUAUUUCAAAGAGUUUACUUAGUUAAUCAUGUUCAUACUAUCUUAAAAAGAAAAUAAAAAUGUGAAAAAAACUGUAAGCCCCAUGUGAGUAGACGAGUGGCAUAAAACCCAUAAGUACAUUCACUGUGGUGGCAUAAAAAUAAAAUAAUUAUUUUUCUGCUCUAUAAAAACAAAAAUAUAAAAACAGGGAGUAAUAUUUAUUAAGGAGUCUCAACAUGAUAAAGGCUAGAUAUUUAUGCUAACACUUAAUCAGUUCCACAAGCUUUGUUGUCUAUUUGAGCUCCACAGAAUUUAAGAAUCAAGAAGACUAGCAGACGGAGGACAUUCUAAUCGCUAUCAGAAUGCUGCUGACUUUCAAAUACACCUCUGCCACCUGCUAGCUACGUCAAGAGAAAUUACGUCAAAAUUCAGCUUGGGGGAGAGCACCCCCAUUUAUCUCGAUAAGUAUUUCUUUCUAUCUCUCUAUCUUUAUACUUAUAUUAUUUUAGAAUAUAAAUAUACAUAACUAUGGAAAACCAAAUAAAGAGUUUGUGCUUAUUUAUAUAUGUCUUUUGCUUAGUGUGUUUAAUAAAUAAAUAAAGUGGCUAUGCUAAUCUGUAUCUAAAUAAAACUUAAGCAUGGAUAUGAUAAAUAGUUGCUCUGCCUAAUUUGCGAAUUUUAAGUUCUCUCUCAAGUUUAGAUAUAACUGUUAUAAUUUAAAGCUUGCUCUAGACCUAAACUUGUGGGAUGAAAACUUGAUCUGAAGUCUAAGUUGUUAACGGAUACGAUAUGGGAAGGUUGAGCUGCUGUUUAUCUGUUCCUAGAGAUGCUAGAAUUCUGGAGAAUUUUAUCUUUGAAAAUCUUUAAAAUGUUGCAUGAUGAGUUCCUGUAUGAUGAGAGUUUAAAUUCCUACCACAGCCAUAUAUACAUGCUUGCUAGACUUUGAGCCACACAUUUACUAUUUACUGCUUAUGAGCAUUGAGUGUGGUCAAGCUGUGUAGACCCUUAGGAGCUUGUCAUGUGGUUAAAUCAAGAUUUCACUUGCACGUUCACUCAUAUAUGCUACUUCUACUCCGGAAGUACCAUCCACAUAUAUCCACCCAUUCCAUCUCCAGAAUCACCCAAAAAUAUUCUACUCCUAAUCCGGGAGAGAAUAACCAAAAAUAUUUCUGUUUUUUCCUUGUGAAAUAAAUGCUCAAGUUAUCUUGUUACUACCACUUGCUAUAUUAUCUCAAGAGAUGAAUGCUCUGAAAAAAAAGAGAUACGAGGAAAUAAAAAGGAGCAAGUGCUCGGAACCUCGAAAGAAAAGAAAAAGUGAGACGAGAGGUAAAAAUGGACAAGUGUCCGACAGUAGAAUUAGAGGUACAAGAUACCCACCUGAGAGACAAGAAAAAGAUAGAGCAUCUCAUUCUCAUCAUAAAGUUUCAAAAGCAAGGAAGUUAUGUAUCCCCUCAAAGAGCAAAGUAGAAUUAGACUUCCACCACCAUUGUUUUCACCAUUGUUAUCACCAUCAUCACCAUACACCAUUCAUUCGCCACACAUGCAUAUUUUGAUUUGGCUUAUUGAUUUGUUUCUUUGGAUCCAUGGUUUGACUAUGCAAUAAAUGUCUUAUAAGUAUGUAUACUUUAUCUCCCACCUAUGAACUCCAGAUAUUAAAGCAUUAUUAGAGUAGGGUGAGAGAGAAGGCAAUGUCACUAUGCCUCAUACCACAAAUACUACAUAUAUUGAGAGAAGGCAUAUACCAUCACUGCCUUGGUAAGGAUCCAAAAAUACCACAAAAGAGAGACCUGAGAGAAUCAUACAAGGAAUUUCUGAGUUUUAUUUGAAAAUCUGCAAAAAAAACCCCAGAGCUAUAGCUGAUCAAGAAUAAGAGACAUGGCACUUGGCUAGACUGUUCUUUUUUUUAACCACUCAAGACAGAAGUGACAGUUACAAGUCCCAUGGUGAAGGUAAAGUAAGUAAGUUUUAAGUCUUGACAGUUUACUCUAACUCAGAGAUGAGAUCUUAUUUAAAAGCAUGUGUACCGUCAAAUUUUUAAAGAUAUUGCAACUACUUAUGAUCCAUAGCUGAGUCUAUCCUUGCUCAGGGACGAGCAAGAGGUAAGCUUGGGGGAGUUUGUUGACGGUCCUUAAGUAUCAAAUUUAAUUAUCAAAUAAAUAAAGAAAAGGAUCCAAAUGAAAUCAAGAUCUAGACUUAGGGUUUUAUCUGACAGAAUUCCACGAGUUUUGGUGUUUGUCUAUUUCUGCAGGGGGUUAUCAGGAAAUAUGGAAGAAAGGCCCACAUGUCGGGAUUACGUAAAGAUAUUAACGUGCUGCACAAUUAUCUUACAUCUAGAAGACUCCAGAAGCCACGAGACCGAAGCGGAUCAGGACUCUGCUUUGCGGGAGAUCUCCACCGACCUAAAGGAUGAAUCUAAACCAUACAAUCUAUGUCGGUUUGAUCCAAUGGCCCAUAUUCACUUGAAGGGACUAUAAAACCAGACCCCCUGGCCCCUGGAGGAAAAAGCCUCUCAACCCUAAUUCAUUGUUCCAUCAAGGGAGAAGAAGCCUCUGAUCAAGAUUAGAGCCACCACAUCAAUUAGACAUCUAGAUUAGCAUAGCUACAUAGGAUUAGAACUAGAAGGAGUCAAUCUUCGAUUGGUUUCCGGAUCUGUCAGGAGGAUUCUUGGUAGUUCUCUAAUUGUGCUUCUAAUUGCUUUCUAAUUAUCUCUGUUCUUCAAUAUUAUGAAUAUGACUUUGUUCUACUUCAAUAUAUUGCUUAUGACUUUGCUCUACUUGCUUAUAUUCAAGAUUAUAUUGUUCUUAGUUUAUCAUAGUUAUGUACUUAGCUUAGUUAGAUUGGAUCUAUAUACAUGCUUAGGAUCGUAUAGCGUUUAUCCAUCGGAUCCAUGGGUAAAUGAUAGAUAUUGUGUAGGCGUGGUGCUUAUACCGUAUUUAUCUGCGAUUGUACCCAAUAUGCCAGAUCGUGGGGUGGUUCGUGAUAGUGACAGCUUCAUUGAUUCUUAUAUAGUCCCCCUCUCGUGUAUUGGGCUGGCAGAGCAACAUUAUUACAGGGGUGUGAUUGCUAUGUUUCUCAUAUUCCUUGCUAAUAUCACUAUGCAUGGGCGUAUCUCACAAUGAUUGCUAAGUAUGCUUGCACUAACUAUGAUAUGCUAGACUAUAUAGUUAAGAAUAACUUAGGGAAUAUUCUUGUAGUUCGUUCUAAUACCAUGCUAAUGACUUUCUAGAGUAUCUAAUUGAGGUGCUUAUCAUAUUUAUUAUGUGGCUAGAUCAGAUUAGUUAUCCUUGUCACUAUUAUUAUUUCAUAUAUCUUUUAUGUGAUACUUAUCCCUGUAUGAAGAGUUAGAUAUAAUGUUCUCAAUUAUACAUGCAAUGAUAGAUGCUCAAUCUCAUAUUCUAUUCUGUAAUCAAUAGUGAUGAUCGCUAAUCCCUUCCCAGUGGUAAAAAUAUAAAUAACGAUACCUGGAAUACUUCUUGGUUAAAAUGCUGCAUCGGUAUUAAUCUGUGCGCUUGCAGAUCCCAUUCAUUAUUUAUUUAGAAGAGCAAUUGCAUAUUUCAAUACCGCGUCUCUUAUAUCAUGCUGGGGAUGACAACUUGGCUUAAGUGGUGUGAGGGAUAGGUUUGGCAUUUUUGGCACCGUUACUAUAUUAAGAGAACUUAGUCUACUUUUGGUAAUGAUGUUAAGAAUACCCAACACAAACUAUUUUAAAUAAUUGAAAGGAAAAGGAUAACUACCAAGUUUACCUCUUGGCAAGGCGUUCGGUGUUUUGAUGUCCUCCGAAUGGGACUCUCCGUUUUCUCAGUCGUCCUGGGAUUCGCUGGAUGGCGUAGUCGGUGGUUCCGGUAGUGCCUCCUCUUUGUGUAUAUCUAUCUUCUCUCUCCACACCUGACUCGGUGCUACGGUCUCCUCAGGACAGUUCUGUUCAAGUUGUAUGUCUUCAGACCAUACCACUUCUCCUUCGUAGUCUGCUCAUCCGUCCUUGAUUAUUUGCCUCCUCUGGUUGCGGUUGCGUCGUCUUCUUCUUGUCCUGACCUACUUAGAGUCUUCAACUAUACAGUUAGGGUCAGUAAAAUAGCGACGUACCUUCUCAAAGGGGAAGUGCAUGUGGACUUCUCCGGUUCCAAUGUAGAUGAUUGCUUUAACGGUGCUGAGGAACGGUCUUCCAAGGAUGAUGGAUGGAUCGUACUCGUCUUCUCCCAUGUCAAUAACCUAAAAAUCUGUAUAGACAAAAUGAUUGUCUAUUUUGACAGGGACAUCAGUUACUAUACCUUCAACCGUUCGGAAUGUCUGAUCUGCCAUCUGGAGCUGAAUGUAUGUUGGUUUUAGGGGCAUAGUUCCGAACAGGAGCUGAUAGGUGACUGCGGCCAUUAUGUUGACGCCUGACCCAUUGUUGCAAAGCGUCUUCUGGAAGUUGUAUCCAUAAUGGAGCACUGGAUGCUUGGCAUACCUGGGUCGUCCUUUUUGGUCAGGAACGGUGACUUAAGUCAACGAUCUUGACCUCCCUGAACUGCAGUGACCAUCUUAGCUGACUCGGUCCACAUUUGCUUGUUCCUGUUCCUCCUGUUGGUCCUCUUCCUUGGUUCAUGUCAGGAUUGCUCUGAGAUUUGUGUAGUCUUGUUCUUGAAGGAAAACGUCUCCUUCCUCCCCUUGAUGUAGAAAUUGAUCUUGGCAGCACUAGCGGUAGAUGGCACCUCCCGAGGUGUUUAGGAAUGGCCUCCUUAGGAUGAUGGGUGCCCUCUCAUCAGUACCAGUCUCUAUCACCAUGAAGUCUGCUGGGGCGUACAAGGUACCAACUCGGACACAAAGGUUUCUCACUAUUCCCUUUGGGAAACUUAGUAUCCGAUCUGCAAGCUGCAAACACAUGGUUGUUUCUAGUAAAGGAUGUGAAAAGAAUUUUUCAUAGAGUACUCUGGGCAUAAUGUUGACGCUGGAGCCAAAGUCGCAGAGUGCUUCUAGGAAGUCCACCAUGCCGAUGGAGAUCGGGAUGACGCGGCGUCCUGGAUCGCCUCUCUUGACCGACAGAAGGUCAGUAAUUACUUCCAUAAUAGGGUUACUCCAUUAGUUACCUGCAUUAACCAUGUCUACAAGAUUUGCAGAUUCUAAUCCUUCUGGUUGUGAUGGUAUACCGGGGUUAGUAGCAGGAACAGCAGCAGCUAUUUGAUUUAACUGAGAUUCAAUAAUUUUAUUAAAGCUAAUUUGAUUCUUGAUGGCAGUAGAGAAAUUAUUCAUUCUAUUAUUUAUGUUUGCUAACAUUUUAUCAUUAGAUGCCAAUUUCUUAGAUAGGUUAUCCAUUAGCUUUCCUUGAUUAGACACUAACUCUCUUAAAGGUAGAAAAUUAUUAUUAUUAUUGUAAGAAUUAUUACCUUGAUAAUUACCUAAGUAGUUAGGCCUCUGUUGAUUCCAACCUUGAUUUUGUUGAGGACGGUUAUAGUAGUAAUAGUUGUUGUUGAUGUAGUUUACGUCCUCAAACAUCUCAGGGUAGUGAUUGCCUGAGUGUCCAGUAUCUCCAGUGUAUUUGUGCUCGUAGAUCCAGGUUCUUCACUUGGUGGAGACUGGGAGUUGUAAAACUCCUCUAUAUUUUGCUCGAAGUGUACUGUUGGGUAUUCUUAACAUCACUACCAAAAGUAGACAAUUCCUAAUUCUAGUAACGGUGCCAAAAAUGCCAAACCUAUCCCUCAUACCACUUAAGCCAAGUUGUCAUCCCCGGCAUGACAUGAGAGACGCGGUAUUGAAAUAUGCAAUUGCUCUUCUAAAUAAAUAAUGAAUAGGAUCUGCAAGCGGGAAGUAUUCCAGGUAUCAUUAUUUAUAUUUUUACCACUGGGAAGGGAUUAGUAACCAUCAAUAUUGAUUACAGAAUAGAAUAUGAGAUUGAGUAUCUAUCAUUGCAAGUAUAAUUGAGAACAGUUAUCUAACUCUUUCAUACAGGGAUAAGUGUCACAUAAAAGAUAUAUGAAGUAAUGAAUAGUGACAAAGAUUAUUAAUCUGAUCAGCCACAUAUAAAUAUGAUAAGCACCUCAAUUAGAUACUCUAGAAAGUCAUUAGCAUGGAAUUAGAACGAACUACAAGAAUAUUUCCUAUGUUAUUCUCAACUAUAUAGUCUAGCAUUAUCAUAGUUAGUGCAAGCAUACUUAGCAAUCAUUGUGAGACAAGACUACGCCCAUGCAUAGUGAUAUUAGCAAGGUAAAUGAGAAACAUAGCAAUCACUCCCCUGUAAUAAUGUUGCUCUGCCAGCCCAAUACACGAGAGGGGGACUAUAUAAGAAUCAAUGAAGCUGUCACUAUCACGAACUACCCCACGAUCUGGCAUAUUGGGUACAAUCGCAGAUAAAUACGGUAUAAGCACCACGCCUACACAAUAUCUAUCAUUUACCCAUGGAUCCGAUGGAUAAACGCUAUACGAUCCUAAGCAUGUAUAUAGAUCCAAUCUAACUAAGCCAAGUACAUAACUAUGAUAAACUAAGAACAAUAUAAUCUUGAAUAUAAACAAGUAGAGCAAAGUCAUAAGCAAUAUAUUGAAGUAGAACAAAGUCAUAUUCAUAAUAUUGAAGAACAAAGAUAAUUAGAAAGCAAUUAGAAGCACAAUUAGAGAAUUACCAAGAAUCCUCUUGACAGAUCCGGAAACCAAUCGAAGAUUGACUCCUUCUAGUUUUAAUCCUAUGUAGCUAUGCUAAUCUAGAUGUCUAAUUGAUGUGGUGGCUCAAAUCUUGAUCUGGGGCUUCUUCUCCGUUGAGGAAUAAUGAAUUAGGGUUGAGAGGCUCUCUCCUCUAGGGGCCAGGGGGUCUGGUUUUAUAGUCCCUUCAAGUGAAUAUGGGCCGUUGGAUCAAACCGACUUAGAUUGAACGGUUAUCCUUGAUCCUUUAGGUCGGUGGAGAUCUCCCACGAAGCAGAGUCCUGAUUGGACUCUCAGAGGGGGCGGGCGCCCAGGGCAGGAGGGCGGGCGCCCUGCCUCUGGCCCCGUUUCGCCUCCGCUUCGGUCUCGUGGCUUCUGGAGUCUUCUAGAUGUAAGAUAAUUGCGCGACAUGUGGGCCUUUCUUCCGUAUUUCCUGAUAACCCCCUGCGGAAAUAGACAAACACCAAAACUCGUGGAAUUCUAUCAGAUAAAACCCUAAGUCUAGAUGUUGAUUUCAUUUGGAUCCUUUUCUUUGUUUAUUUGAUUAUUAAAUUUGAUACUUAAGGACCGUCAACAAACUCCCCCAAGCUUACCUCUUGCUCGUCCCUGAGCAAGGAUAGACUCAGCAAUGAAUCAGAAGUUGUUGCAAUAUCUUUAAAAAUUCACGGUACACAUGCUUUUUUUAAAUAAGAUCUCAUCUCUGAGUUAGAGUAAACUGUCAAGACUUAAAACUUACUUACUUUACCUACACCAUGGGACUUGUAACCGUCACUUCUAUCUUGAUUGGUUAAAAGAUAGAACAGUCUAGUCAAGUGCCAUGUCUUUUAUCUUGAUCAGCUAUAGCUCUGGUGUUUUUGCAUAUUUUCAAAUAAAACUCAGAGAUUCCUUGUAUGACUCUCUCAUAUCUCUCUUUUGUGGUAUUUCUGGAUCCUUACCAAGGCAGUGAUGGUAUAUGCCUUCUCUCAAGAUAUGUAGUAAUUGUGGUAUAAGGCAUAGUGACAUUGCCUUCUCUCUCACCCUACUCUAAUAAGGCUUUAAUAUCUGGAGCUCAUAGGUGGGAGAUAAAAUAUACAUACUUACAAGACAUUUAUUGUAUAGUCAAAUCAUGGAUCCAAAGUAACAAGUCAAUAAGUUUAAUCAAGAUGUGCAUGUGUGGCGAAUGAAUGGUGUAUGGUGAUGAUGGUGGUAACAGUGGUGAAAGUCUAAUUCUACUUUUGCUCUUUGAGGGGAUAUAUACCUUCCUUGCUUUUUGAAUAGUGAGGAGAAUGAGAUGCUCUUCAUUUUCUUUCCUCUCAGGUGGGUAUCUUGUACCCCUAAUUCUACUGUCGGACACUUGUCCAUUUUUACCUCUCGUCUCACUUUUUCUUUUCUUUCGAGGUUCCGAGCACUUGCUCCUUUUUAAUUCCUCGUAUCUCUCUUUUUUUUAGAGCACUCAUCUCUUGAGAUAAUAUAGCAAGUGGUAGUAACAAGAUAACUUGAGCAUUUAUUUCACAGGGGAAAAUAGAAAUAUUUUUUAUUAUUCUCUCCCGGGUUAGGAGUAGAAUAUUUUUAGGUGGUUCUGGAGAUGGAAAUGGAUGGAUAUAUGUGGAUGGUACUUCCGGAAUAGAAGUAGCAUAUAUGAGUGAACGUGCAAGUGAAAUCUUGAUUUAACCACAUGACAAGCUCCUAAGGGUCUACACAGCUUGACCACACUCAAUGCUCAUAAGCAGUAAAUAGUAAAUGUGUGGCUCAAAGUCUAGCAAGCAUGUAUAUAUGGCUGUGGUAGGAAUUUAAACUCUCAUCAUACAGGAACUCAUCAUGCAACAUUUUAAAGAUUUUCAAAGAUAAAAUUCUCCAGAAUUCUAGCAUCUCUAGGAACAGAUAAAUAGCAGCUCAACCUUCCCAUAUCGUAUCCGUUAACAACUUAGACUUCAGAUCAAGUUGUCAUCCCACAAGUUUAGGUCUAGAGCAAGCUUUAAAUUAUAACAGUUAUGUCUAAACUUGAGAGAGAACUUAAAAUGUGCAAAUUAGGCAGAGCAACUAUUCAUCAUAUCCAUGCUAGAGUUUUAUUAUUAAGAUACAGAUUAGCAUAGCCACUUUAUUUAUUUAUUAAACACACUAAGCAAAAGAUAUAUAUAUAAGCAUAAAAUCUUUAUUUGGUUUUUAAUGGUUUAUGUAUAUUUAUAUUCUAAAAUUGUAUAAGUAUAAAGAUAGAUAGAUAGAAAUACUUAGCGGGAUAAAUGGGGGUGCUCUCCCCCAAGCUGAAUUUUGACGUAAUUUCUCUUGAUGUAGCUAACAGGUGGCAGAGGUAUAUUUGAAAGUCAGCAACAUUGUGACAGCGAUUAGAAUGUCCUCCGUCUGCUAGUCUUCUUGAUUCUUAAAUUAUGUGGAGCUCAAAUAGACAAUAAAUCUUGUGGAACUGAUUAAGUGUUAGCAUAAAUAUCUAGUCUUUAUCAUGUUGAGACUCCUUAAUAAUUAUUACUCCCUAUUUUUAUAUUUUUAUUUUAUAAAGCAAAAAAAUAUUUAUUUUAUUUUUAUGCCACCACAGUGAAUGUACUUAUGGGUUUCAUGCCACUCGUAUAUUCACAUGGGGCUUACUGUUUUUCACAUUUUUAUUUUCUUUUUAGGAUAGCAUGAACAUGAUUAACUAAGCAAACUGUUUAAAAUAAUUAAAAGGGAAAGGAUAACUACCAAGUUUACCUCUUGGCAAGGCGUUCGGUGUUUUUAAGUCCUCUGAACGGGACUCUUCAUUUUCUUAAUUGUCCUGGGAUUCGUUGGGUGGCGUAGUCGGUACUUCCGGCGGCGCCUCCUCUUCAUGUAUAGUUAUCUUCUCUUUGACUCGGUGCUACGGUCUCCUCUGGAUAAUUCUGUUUAAACUCUAAGUCUUCUGACCUUAUAACUUCUCCUUCGUAGUCUGCCCAUCCGUCCUUGAUGAUUUGCAUCCUCUGGUUGCGGUUGCGUCAUUUCCUUACCUGCUUAGAUUCUUCAACGAUAUAGUUAGGGUCAGUAAAAUAACGUUGUACCUUCUCUGAGGGGAAGUGCAUAUGGACUUCUCCGGUUCCAAUGUAGAUGAUUGCUUUAACGGUGCUAAGGAACGGUCUUCCCAGGAUGACGGGUGGAUCGUAUUCAUCUUCUCCCAUGUCAAUAACCUGAAAGUCUGUGUAGACAAAAUGAUCGUCUAUCUUGACAGGGACAUCAGUUACUGUUCCUUUAACUUCUCGAAAUGUCUGAUCUGCCAUCUGGAGCUGAAUAUAUGUUGGUUUUAGGGGUACGGUUCCGAACAAGAGCCGAUAGGUGACUGCGGCCAUUAUGUUGACGCCCGAUCCGGUGUCGCAAAACGUCUUGUAGAAGCUGUAUCCAUUUAUGGAGCAGUAGAUGCUUGGCAUUCCUGGGUCGUCCUUCUUGGUUAAAACGGUGACUUAAGUUGAUGAUCUUGGCCUCCAUGAACUGCAGUGACCAUCUUAGCUGACUCGGUCCACACUUGCUUGUUCCUGUUCCUCCUGUUGGUCCUCUUCCUUGAUUCACGUCUAGAUUGAUCUGGGAUUUGUGUAGUCUUGUUCCUAAAGAAAAAUGUCUCCUUCCUCCCUUUGAUGUAGAAACUGAUCUUGGCAGCACUGGCGUAGAUGAUAGCUCCCGUGGUGUUCAAGAAUGGCCUCCCUAAGAUGAUAGGUGCCCUCUCAUCAUUUCCGGUCUCUACUACUACGAAAUCUGCUGGGGCAUACAAGGUACCAACUCGGACACAGAGGUUUCUUAAUAUUCCUUUUGGAAAAGUUAUCGUCUGAUCUGCAAACUGCAAACACAUGGUUGUCUCUAAUAAAGGAUAUGUAAAGAAUUUCUCAUAGAGUACCCUGGGUAUAAUGUUGACACUGGAGCCAAAGUCACAGAGUGCUUCUGGGACGUCCACCAUGCCGAUGGAGAUCGGGAUGACGGGGCGUCCUGGAUCUCCUCUCUUGACCGGCAGAAGGUCAGUAGUGAAUUAGUGACGGGGUUACUCCAAUUACCUGCAUCAAAGAUGUCUACAAGAUUUGCAGAUUCUAAUCCUUCGGGUUGUGAUGGUAUACCGGGGUUAGUAGCAGGAACAGCAGCAACUAUAUGAUUUAAUUGAGAUUCAAUCAUUUUAUUAAAGCUAAUUUGAUUCUUGAUGGCAGUAGAGAAAUUAUCCAUUCUAUUAUUUAUAUUUUCUAGCAUUUUAUCAUUAGAUGCCAAUUUCUUAGAUAGGUUAUCCAUUAGCUUUCCUUGAUUAGACACUAACUCUCUCAAAGGUGGAAAAUUAUUAUUAUUGUUGUAAGAAUUGUUACCUUGAUAAUUACCUGAGUAGUUAGGCCUCUGUUGAUUCCAACCUUGAUUUUGUUGAGGACGGUUGUAGUAGUAGUAGUUGUUGUUGUUGAUGUAGUUCACCUCCUUAAGCGUCUCAGGACAGUGAUUGCGUGAGUGUCCAGUAUCUCCACACUCCUCACAUGUCAUGUGAGAGUCGUAGAUGUGCAUCACUUCCUUCUUAUCUCCAGCUCUAUCGUCGAGCUUCUUCAUGAGCGGGUCUAGCUUUGCAGACAGCAUGUCUACCUCAUUCAGCUGAUACAUACCUCCACCUCUCUUGCGUGUCUGGGUCCUCUCUUCAUUCCAGCUUUGGUUGGACGCCAUCUUCUCCACAAGAGCUGUGGCUUGUGAUAUAGUAAGUGAUAAGAAUGCUCCUCCAGCUGCAGCAUCCAUGGUUUCUCGGGCACUGUUGCCGAGCCCAUGAUAAAACGUCUGCAUCAGUAGCCAACUCUCCAUUCCAUGAUGGGGACAUUCUAGGAUGUAGUCUUGAAAGCGCUCCCAUCCUUCUGGAACAGAUUCAUCAUUUUGUUGCUAAAAAUUUGUAAUCUUCCCACAGAGAGCAUUGGUCUUGCCCAUGGGAAAGAACUUAGCCAGGAAGUUUGUUGAGCAGAGUGCCCACGUAGUAUUCUUCUCCUUUGUAGCGUAGAACCACUGCUUUGCUCUUCCUAACAGUGAGAAUGGGAAGAGGCGAAGUGAAGUAGUAUAGCAUCUUUGGAAACUCCUGAUAUGGUGAAUGUGUUGCAUAUCUCCAGGAAGUGUUGUAGAUGAGCACUAGCAUCUUCGUGUGCCUUCCCACAGAACUGGUUGGAUUGCACCAUGUUGAUAAGUCCAGGCUUGAGCUCAAAGUUGCCAUCGAUCCCUGCAGCAGGUCCAGUGCGGAUGUUGUCCAUAGUGGGAGCUGAGAACUCGCGGAUUGAUUUGUUCGCCAUGGCUUCGAACUCUGAAGACAAGUUCCAGUGAUCUUCUUGAUUGGAUGAAGCUUCUUGCUGAAGUGUUGAUGAUCUCUUCUUGAGCUUGGCUCUCGUCUUCUUGAAUAAUGUUUCGGGAUUGUCAACAAAAUUUCCUGGAAGAUGUCUUCUAUUCAUACAUUUCCCUGCAUAAGAUAAAAUAGAAAAAUAUCGGGGUAAAACUGUAUGAGAGAAUAGAUAAGCUCAAUCAGAUUAGUAAUGCGAAUGAUAACUCAAAAUCUUUUAUUCCAUUCGUGAUUAUUAAUCAACCUUCCCCGGCAACGGCGCCAAAAAUGCUUGUUGGGUAUUCUUAACAUCACUACCAAAAGUAGACAAUUCCUAAUUCUAGUAACGGUGCCAAAAAUGCCAAACCUAUCCCACAUGCCACUUAAGCCAAGUUGUCAUCCCCAGCAUGACAUGAGAGACACGGUAUUGAAAUAUGCAAUUGCUCUUCUAAAUAAAUAAUGAAUGGGAUCUGCAAGCGCACAGAUUAAUACCGAUGUAGCAUUUUAACCGGGAAGUAUUCCAGGUAUCGUUAUUUAUAUUUUUACCACUGGGAAGGGAUUAGUAACCAUCAAUAUUGAUUACAGAAUAGAAUAUGAGAUUGAGUAUCUAUCAUUGCAAGUAUAAUUGAGAACAGUUAUCUAACUCUUUCAUACAGGGAUAAGUGUCACAUAAAAGAUAUAUGAAGUAAUGAAUAGUGACAAAGAUAAUUAAUCUGAUCAGCCACAUAUAAAUAUGAUAAGCACCUCAAUUAGAUACUCUAGAAAGUCAUUAGCAUGGAAUUAGAACGAACUACAAGAAUAUUUCCUAUGUUAUUCUCAACUAUAUAGUCUAGCAUUAUCAUAGUUAGUGCAAGCAUACUUAGCAAUCAUUGUGAGACAAGACUACGCCCAUGCAUAGUGAUAUUAGCAAGGUAAAUGAGAAACAUAGCAAUCACUCCUCUGUUGCUCUGCCAGCCCAAUACACGAGAGGGGGACUAUAUAAGAAUCAAUGAAGUUGUCACUAUCACGAACUACCCCACGAUCUAGCAUAUUGGGUACAAUCGCAGAUAAAUACGGUAUAAGCACCACGCCUACACAAUAUCUAUCAUUUACCCAUGGAUCCAAUGGAUAAACGCUAUACGAUCCUAAGCAUGUAUAUAGAUCCAAUCUAACUAAGCCAAGUACAUAACUAUGAUAAACUAAGAACAAUAUAAUCUUGAAUAUAAACAAGUAGAGCAAAGUCAUAAGCAAUAUAUUGAAGUAGAACAAAGUCAUAUUCAUAAUAUUGAAGAACAAAGAUAAUUAGAAAGCAAUUAGAAGCACAAUUAGAGAAUUACCAAGAAUCCUCUUGACAGAUCCGGAAACCAAUCGAAGAUUGACUCCUUCUAGUUUUAAUCCUAUGUAGCUAUGCUAAUCUAGAUGUCUAAUUGAUGUGGUGGCUCAAAUCUUGAUCAGGGGCUUCUUCUCCAUUGAGGAAUAAUGAAUUAGGGUUGAGAGGCUCUCUCCUCCAGGGGCCAGGGGGUCUGGUUUUAUAGUCCCUUCAAGUGAAUAUGGGCCGUUGGAUCAAACCGACUUAGAUUGAACGGUUAUCCUUGAUCCUUUAGGUCGGUGGAGAUCUCCCACGAAGCAGAGUCCUGAUUGGACUAUCAGAGGGGGCGGGCGCCCAGGGCAGGAGGGCGGGCGCCCUGCCUCUGGCCCCGUUUCGCCUCCGCUUCGGUCUCGUGGCUUCUGGAGUCUUCUAGAUGUAAGAUAAUUGCGCGGCUUGUUAAUAUCUCUAUGUAAUCCCGACGUGUGGGCCUUUCUUCCGUAUUUCCUGAUAACCCCCUGCAGAAAUAGACAAACACCAAAACUCGUGGAAUUCUGUCAGAUAAAACCCUAAGUCUAGAUGUUGAUUUCAUUUGGAUCCUUUUCUUUGUUUAUUUGAUUAUUAAAUUUGAUACUUAAGGACCGUCAACAUGUACCUGCUCAUAGAGACAAGGCAGAGAUCAAGUGCAUGGGCCCUGUUGGUGGAAAACACCAAUAGAACCAACAGUGUAUUUGUUCUUCUCUAACCUUAAGCAUAGUGAGCAAGACAAAGUUGAUGGAUGAUAAGAUCAUGAGUGUAGCAUUUAAAGCAUUUGUCAUAUCAGAUCGCUCAACCUAAUGGAAAGAUAAUCUAUCUAUACUUAUGUUUUUUAUAUAUAUCUUCCAAAGAUUGUGUGUGCAACAUUUUAGUUCAUAUGAUUAGGAGUGUGGGAUGACAAAGGUGGAAGGACUAAACAUAUCGAAUCGAUUGGGUUGGUUAAUCUAGAGUUGUAAAUUAUACAUGUUUGUCUCAUUUAUUCAUGUGAAUGCCAGAACCAAGGAGAAGCCUAUAAAAGUGAUAGUCAAGUACCUUAAGAUGUUACCUUACUUGAAGAGUGAUGGUACAGUAUCACCUUGUGGAAGCUUUCCUUUCUUAGCGGUUGUGCAUCAUGUUUGUGGCACCCUCCAUGGAUCAUCUCUUGUGAGCUAUGCCUUCCUUGUGUAAAUUGUUAACCUUCAUGUGUCUCUCUCUUUGUCUCCAAUGUGAGUUUAUCUCAGGACUUCCCAGGUCGAUAUUGAAUGUUUUCCUGCAGGGGUUAGUCCAACAAAAUAUCCAAUAUGUACUAUAACAUACUAUCGGCUCAAAAAUCAACCUAGACACCAUGUCUAAUUUGAUUUAGGAGGGCAUUUUAACCUAAGCACCAUGCUUAAUUUAAAAUCCCUUGGAAGUAAGAUCAUCAUUCCUAAACUAAGCACCAUGCUUAAUUAAGAGAUAAAUGAAACUACUCCAAACCUAGACAUAUACUAAAGCAAAUAAAGGUAGCAUGAGAGCAUUUAUAGAGAUCUACUCAAGUGGAGAUGAAGUAGUGUGAUUAGUAUUUAACAAAUUAAGCAUGUCUCAAAGGUAGGGACAACCAACAUAGCAACAUGGCAAAGGAUGUUUUUAUGUAAAGUACUACCCCAAGCUUGAAUUUUGCAAAAUUCAAGUUUGGAUGAAUUUAAUUCAAUGUUGUAUGAUGACUGGUUAGACAUACCUUGUGCUUGUCAUUCAUCCGAUCUUCUUGCUCCUAUCCUGGGAAGGUUAGUGACAAGAAUACCCGAAGGAAUUUUUUUACAAUUAUCCUUAUAUGCUCAAUACACAAGGUAAUGUUGCAAAUAAUUAAAAGCUCAUGUUACGAUCUGAUCAGUGCUUAUUUUAGGACACUAAGCUUGUCCUUGGGAAACCAUCAAUUUAUGUCUGCGAAGUGGUUUCCCCUCCAACGCUGACCUAUAUCAAGAUCAACUCAACGAGAUCUGCAAUAUUUAUUAUAGACAUAUGCAUCGACAACCGCCCUUUUAAAGUUUUUAUAAAUAGAAAGGAAGAGGGGGUUGGAGAUCUCGAAUGUGGUGAUGUUGGAGAGACCAAUGGAUUGGGAAGAUGUUGCAUAUGAGCAUGGAGUAAACGAAGUGGCUAUGAAAUAAAUUCCAUGCUCAUUAAUGUUUGGAGUGAAAUCCAUGUGGUAUGGUUAAAAUGGUAAGGUGAGUGUGGUAAAAAAAGAAAAGAAAAAGGAUACACAGACGACUUGGCUCAAAACUAGCACAGCUACCGUUCCUCGGCAACGGCGCCAGAAAGCUUGUUGGGUAUUUUAAACGCAAACAGAAAAAUCCGCAAGCGCACGGAUACCGAUGUAGCUUUCACCCGGGAGUAUUCCAGAGUAUCGAUUUUCCACAGGGAACGUGAGUGUACUAAUUAAGAUUCAAGAUCACCCAAGGAUAACUAUAUAAUUAUUUUUGGUGGGAAGAGAGGAAGUUUCAUGAGAGUUCUCUAGUUGAUCUAAGAAUCAAAAAUUACUUCAAAGAUUAUUUAUUUCGGGACAUCAGAACACUAACCACAGAAAGAGAUGAGAAGGGGGCUAGGAAGCUCUGACUACGGUCCUACAAACACUGAUCCGAACGAGGUGGAAUACGUUGACCGUUAGGGCUGUCACUACCCUAGGGCUACCACAACAAUCCGCAGGAUUAGGUGUAAUUCCACGUAAUUGCAAGACUAAACACCACGUCUAAUCUAUUAAUUAUUACUCUAGCGUUUCAAAGACUAGAGCACUUGAUGCAAGCGGGAAUCCAAUAAAUAACUUGAAUGUAAAUAGAAGUAAAUAAAGAACUCAGGAAUUAUGAAAUGAAGAACUUGGAGAACGAUGAAGAACGAACCAGUUGCUGCAAAAGUAUAAUGUUGAGGAAGAUCCCACAGAUCCGGCUCCUCCUCCGCUCUCCUCUUCUCUCUCCCUAUUUUCUAGAUUACUACUAGAACCAACUAGAACUAGAACUAGACGAACUAGAACUAGAACUAGAUGAACUAGAGGGAUCCUCUCUACUUGGAUGAAUAAUUGAAACCCUAGCUUUGAUUCUGUAGAAGAGGUAUGUUCUCCAGGGGCCAGGGGGCCUGCUUAUAUGGCCCUUCCAAAUGAACGUGGGUUGUCGGAUCAAAACGACCUUAAUCGCACGGUUUUCCUUGAUCCUCAAAGGCGGUGGAGCACGAUCCGCGAGACCUGCCCUGAUUGGUCACCAGGGCAGGGCGGGCACCCAAGGGGGGAAGGCGGGAGCCCCGCCCCCGGGCCCGCUCGGCCUCCCGUUCGUUCUCGUAGCUUCUGGAGUCUUCUAGAUGAUAGAAAAUUGGCGCACACGUUAAUAUCUCUAUAUAAACCCGACGUGUGGGCCUUUCCUCCAUAUUUCCUGAUAACCCCCUGUAGAAAUAGACAAACACCAAAACUCGUGGAACUCUGUCAGAUAAAACCCUAAGUCUAGGUGUCGGUUGCAUUUGGAUCCUUUUCGAUGAUUAGUUGACGGUUAAAUGUGAGCAUUAAGGACCGUCAACACAACUCUUCCAUCUAGUCUCAGCCUUGGUGCCCUAUCUGGAAUAAUGUUCACGACCAUCUAACCUUACCUAUGAUCAAUUCACCUUUGCCUGCUAAGGUCUCUGAGCUCUAGAUCCCUCGUACCCAGAAUUGGAACCAUCAACUUCUCUCCACCACCUUCAGUGAUCAAGCCGUCCAUGCCAUUGAAGCCACUCCUAUUGUCAGCUCCAACUACAAUGAUAUUCUCAGAUGGACUCCUGCUAAAAAUGGUAUCUGCACUACUAAAUCUGUUUACUCUUAUCUUGCUCAACAGCAUGUUCAUCAACUUCCUAGUCAGGGAACCCAAAGUUUAAUUGAUGAUGCAAGCAACAUUCUACAGAAGGAUUGGAAAAGUAAGUCUAUCCCACCACUUCUUAAAACCUUUGCUUGGAGACUUGUUAGAAGAGCAUUGGCUACUGGUGAAAGAGCGGGUAGGUACUCUGUCCAUAUAGACAACCACUGCUCUUAUUGUGGUGCUGUUGAAACUGACCAACAUCUGUUUUUUAAAUGUAAUUUAUCUACUGAUAUCUGGUCUGCAGCAAACCCUCCUCUCAUUACUAAUAACAUUCCUGCAGAAGAUGAUGGUGUCCAAAUGUCCCUACCUCUUCUUUUUACCCACAAUCUAACUGAUGAAAUCUUAUGUAAAACUCUUUUCCUUCUCUGGUACAUUUGGAAGGCACGAAAUGAUAAUAGGUUCCAGAGAAGAACAUGGACAUCUCUCCAGAUUCAACAAGCAGCAAAUGCUCACAUGAAUACACACCUUGAGGCACUAAAAGAACAAGAACAAUAUCAGUCGGGUACUUUUCUCCUUCCUGUAGGUGCUACUCCAGUACCCCAACAAUCAAUUGGUCCAAGCAGAACAACAACAGACACAUCUUCACCAGCUAUGCUAACUAAUGUGGUUUCCUAAUGUCACAAACUACACCCGAGGUAUAAAUGUUGCACAUGCAGGAACUAAUAACGCCUCAAAUCAUGGUAACAACUACUCCACAGCCAUGCUGGACAGGUGGUUAGAACUGUUUCCUACCUUAAUUCAAGGGACACGAUGCUAUACCGAUGCCUCAACUCAGCCAGAUCAAACUCCCUCUCUUCACAAAGAGGUUGGAAUUGGAGUCUUCAUCAUCAACACACAGGUGUCUCCCCCAUUAAGCAUUUUUAUCAAGGCUGCAAUGCAAAAUUCAACAUCAGUCCUAAUGGCAGAAUCACCAGCUAUGAUGGUAGCAGCUAUGUUGCUGCAAAAAUUGAAUCUCCAGGAGGCAACCUUGUUGUCUGAUAAUCAACAGCUGGUCCACUUCUUAAACAGAGCCGACCUCUCCAAUCCUCCUGAUUGGAGAAUCAAACCAUACACAUAGAUGAUCAGUUCUCCCUUAGCAGCCACAAGCUCUUCCAUUCGCAAGAUUAGAAGAUCUCAGAAUUAAAUGGCAGAUAUGUUGGCUAGACAGGCUCUUACUGUUUUCCAUUCCAAUCAUAAUAAUUUCUCAGGAGCUUCUACUAACCCUCAGCAUGUACAAGAGUGUUCGGUCCUUGUGGCACUCCAAUCUGUAACCAUAAACUCUGUAAUGGUUCUAACAGCUUCUUGUUGUUAAUUAAGGAAUGAAGUUGUUGUCAAAAAAAAUAGGGCCUAGAUGGAAAUUAAUUCUUUACAUCACCAUAUCACAUCUUUUGUAGUUUUGAAUCUGGAUUCUUCCCGUAAUGCUAUGUUUGAGUUUUAUUAAUGUAUUUUUUCUCUUGUUGUUCCAAAAUGAAGGACUUAGGGACCUCGAAAAAAAACUUGUGUUUCUUCAGGUAGAUGCUAAAAACAAAACAUGACACAUUCUUCUUGGAUCUGGCAUCAUAGGUUUUAUUUCUAAAAUUAAAACUCUGUGUAGAAUGUUAUAUUUGAGUUUUCAGUUAAGCUAUUUAGCCCCAAAAUGGUUUCAAAAAUCUGGGAAAAUCAUCUAAAAUCUACAAGAAUAUGACCUAUGACGUGCGACCACUUGGAGUUGGCUAGUGGACUUCUUUCGGGGUUAUUUUUUAUUAUUCUUUUGGCUACAUUUGUAAAAUUUUGUAAAACUAUUCGUAGAGGUAGCUGGGUUUCAAUCCGCGUAUGAAAAUCAAUUUCUAGAGACGGAUGAGUACCUGCCUCUAGAAUUCGUUGAUUUCUAGAGAUAGACAAUUACGUAGAGGCAUGUCAAAUAGCCACAUUUAUAAAUCCUUUGCAGUCACCUCUACAAAUGCUUUUUAUGUAGCGUUGAUUGUUGUCUUAGUUGUUCUCAGUGGCAAACCCACAUGUUGAUGAGGACAUCGCCACGCUGGACACGUCGAUACCAUCGUCUUUCUUAAGUUGCAAUUCAUCUCCAACUCAGCUACCACGUCACUCACGGAUUCAGCAAAUACGUCGUCAGUGUUUCUAUCAUAAAUUCUUCAUACGACAUCAAAACGGGGUGAUCUUUGACUCGUUGGAAAGAGGACGACGAUGCUGUCAUUUUAGAUCUGGUCCCAGCUCCAGAUCAUUCGUUGAUUAAUCUGUAUGACCACGAUAAGGUGCUGCAUCACCUAUUUUUGACCAACUUGGCCAUGUAUCGAGUCGGACCUUAAGCCCAAGUAAUGGACGCCUCUCCCUGAUCGUCUCUAACCCUAGGACAUCGAUCUUUUAUAUUUCACGCAGCAACCGCUAUUUAGACACGGGUUUUGAUUAGAGUUUAGUUUUCCAUCGAGAAGCUAAAUCGUUCAUUGUAAUUAUAGUGAUCUAGGGCCCCGUUCUUGAUCUCCUCCACUGUGUCGAUUAGUCCCUUGGAACCGAGUUCUUGAACGUUCUUUGAUAUUCUCAUCAACUCAUAUUUGUAAUUUUAAAUUGCGUGUUUAUACUUUCUUGCUUGUAUUCUUUGAUUCGCUUGCAGGAACAGCCUUCUUACGAGGUCAAUCAAGUUGUGCUUCGUUGAUAACCAACAGAGCAGUGGUGUAACGGUUGCAGGAUUCGAAUCGUGACUGAUUUGAAGUCGGAUCACCAAAGUCGAGAUCUCCACAAAUCAAACUUAUCGGUUACCUCUCGAAAGAUCAGGUCUGGUCCUCAUCAAUUGGUAUUAGAUAUCUUAGGUUUACCGCGAGGUAUAAUCUCAUUUGCCCUAGAUUCAUAUUUGUUCAUUACCUACAGUCUACAAAAAGCCUAAAAAAUAGUCAAUUUCUGAUGUCCUAUCAACCGUUGUGCCUUGCAAUUUUGUUUUCAUAUUUGCUUUGUUGAAUUUGUGACCGUGGUUGAGUCUAGUUGCUGAUUUAGAUUGUGUUCGUCGUUGUAGUUCAAUUGCACCGUUGUUGUUUAUUUAUAUUUCCGCUGCUAUCCCAUCCACCGUUCCCCAACAACAAGUCGAAGUCACCAUAUUACUCAACUUGCCCUGCUAGCCGCCUUGUAUGAUCUCUCGCCGCCGCGUUAACCCUAGAUAAUAGUUUGCCAGCCGCUGUUAUUUUGCUUGCAUGACAACCCUCCUUAUAUCUCCAGGUGAAUACCUAUUGUUGUUAGUCACAGGGAUGAUUCAUCUUGUGAUCGGUGUUGGAGUUUAGGGACGCUUUGCCCUAACUGUGCCGCCAUGUUGUGCCUUUUGAAAACAUAACUUGAGAUACCUUCGGUGAAACAGGCACAACUUUUGGCUCGUUUAUCAGAAAAAUCUAAAAUUUUUACGGCAACUUCUUGACACAAUUUGGACCUGACCCAAACUGGGCCUCGCCCCGUUUGGUUUCAUCAAAAUUGCCAAAAAAAAUCGAGAAAAUAAAGAAAAAAUUGUCAAAGGUUUUGCACGCAUUUUAGACAACUUGCUGAAUUUUUGUAGACCACAUCUGACCUCAGUUAUAGGUGCCAAUUUUUGUGGCUACAUCUUUUGUGAUCCUUGUUCAGAGAAAAAUAUAAAAAUAGUAAAAAAUAAAAAAUCUUGAUUCCUAUUAGUGCCUUUUGGGAAAAUCCAUGAAAAAAUAGGAUAAAGGAAAAAUCAGCCCUAUUACUUGUUCUAUGAGUCUUAUCAUCCUACUUUGUUUCACCUUGUUGUGCUAUGUCUAGACACAUCUUAGCCAACAAUUGUGAUUUGUCCUUUGGAUACUUAUUGAACUUAGCUAAAUCUGCAUUUGAAUAUUGCUAAUCCUUGCUACACAUAUUGUGCCUUUCUAAAGCUUCACAUAUACUUCUGUCAGCACAGAUUCAUCUUGCAACUGUUUAGCCAUACUCAACAACAGAUUACUUUAUCAAUUUGGUUUAACUCAUGUUUGGCUUUGGUAAGAACACUUAUAAGAUGGUGGUAAGCCGCUUCUGAUUUUGUAUUCCACUUUCACCAUCACUUUGUUUCCUUUUAGUUGAUAGUGAAAAUAAGUUGCUGUUGUUUUUCCCUAUUUUUUAACCAUGGCAGGAUCUCCAAUGGAUUUUAAUAAUUGUGUGUCCAAGGAUGAACUUACAACGUUCAUCACUAAACAGCAUAAUCUUAUGAACGAGCUGACGCACAAUGUGAACAAUCUUGUCAUCCGUAUUGAACAGAUUGAGCAACGCCCUCCAUAUCAUCGUGGUGAUGAUGAAGAUGCUGAUGCAGAUGGAGAUAUAUCUGAUCAUGAAGAUGUGGAUGCUGAUGGUGACGCCCACAACCGUCGUCGCUACAACUUCAAUCGUCGUGGUAUGAGGUAAUAAUUAUGGUAAUAAUGAUCCUUUUGCUAAAAUUAAAUUUAGCCUACCUCCUUUUGCUGGUAAUGUUGAUCCUGAAGCAUACUUAAAUUGAAAACUUGUUGUUCAACAAAAAUUUGAUUCUCAUAAUGUUCCUGCUGAGUAUAGAGUUAGACUUGCUACUAGUGAGUUUACUAAUUUUGCUUUGUUUUAGUGAAGUGAUCUUUGCAAUGCUAAUAAUGCUGCUGAUGUGCCUCAAACUUGGAGUGCUUUAAAACAAUGUAUGAAAUCUCAUUUUGUUCCUCCUUAUUAUCAACGUGAUUUACGUCUUAAACUACAAACUUUAAAACAAGGAGAUAAAGGAAUAGAAGCAUACUAUCAAGAAUUGUUUAUUGGGUUAGCACGUUGUGGUGUAAAUGAAGAUGAUGUUGAUGCUAGUGCUAGAUUUUUUGGUGGUUUAAAUCAUGAUAUUCAGAACAUUCUUGAUUACAAAGAAUAACGUAAUUUUUCUCAAUUGUAUCAUCUUACUAUUAAGGUAGAACGUGAAGUAUAGGGACGCAAGCAACACCAGUCUUUUCGGUCUAAUAAUGGGAGGAAUUUUCAGCAGCGUUCUGAGCCGGAAACGCCCAAGAUUUCUGUUCCACUACAGCCAUCUACACUUGUAAAUUAUCUAAUGUGCAACCCUCAUAGCUGAAGAAAGGUGUCACUUUGGGUGCUUCUACUAGCUCCUCCUCGCCCAGCUCUAAAAUCAUUUGCCACCGAUGCAAAGGCAUGGGACAUGUCAUGAAGAAUUGCCCAAGUCGUCGCACUUUUAUUGCUACCGAGGAUGGAUAUGUAAUUGCUAGUGAUGUUGAAGAUGAUUUAGCCCUUGCUGCUAACAUUGUUGUAGAUUCUACCGAGGGCGAUCAAGACACGGAGACCAUCACCAUUGACUUAGUGGCUGCAUCCGCGGGCUAUCCUAGCCUUCUUGUGCAGCGUGUGUUGAGUUCACAUGUGGGACGUGAAGAAGAGAUGCAGAUCCAGCGCUACAAUUUGUUCCACAUAUAUCUCAGUGUGCAGGGUUGUCAUGUUCUCACCAUCAUUGAUAGUAGGAGUUGCAACAACUUGGUGAGUUUAGAUUUGGUUGAGAAGGUUGGCUUGACCACACGACAACAUUUGUAUCGAUACAAACUGUUGAUAUUUGGGAACGCAAUAAGGAAUUGAUCCGCAAGCGCACGGAUAUCGGUGAGCACUUCACCCGGGAGGUUAUCUAGAGUAUCGUAUUUAUUUUUUUACCACUAGGAGAAAGAGUGCAUCUGACUAACCGGUCUAUUACUACUAACCCUUUAGGCACAAAGAAUGUCUCUCGAUGUGAGUGAUAAAUAGAGAAGACUGCAACCGUAGUCUCCUUCUAACCUUGGUAAGGAUGAUUUACUGUUCUAUUGGGGAGGCUAACGGAAUCUAGACACCACAAAGGAUGUUCAACCCGCACCUAUAAACCCUAUCCUUCCUGCUAACGAGAUAUGGUCUGCAAAGGUAACUCGGAAUUGUCACGUUCCUCACUACAACCACGGUCCAGCUAGUCAGGGAAUAUCUAUGAGUACCCCAGCCUAAACACCACGUUUACGCCAGUAAUGAUUACUCUAAACUCUACACGAAGAGAUUAAAGUAAACUCAUAAACCAUAAGAACAAUAAAACAAGAGCUUACUAGAAUUUAGAAGUCGAAAUACUGAAGAAUCCUAGGAGCAAGCUUCGGGUUAGGAGAACUUGAUCCCGCAGGUACAAGCUUGGAGUAGACACCGACAGGCCGGGCUUCCACCAAUCUACACCUCCACUCUAUCUCUCUCAAUCUAGUAGAAACUAGAAGAUCUAUUUCUACUUUACAUUGGUUGCUAAGCCUAAAAAGAAAUAUUAAUUAGAGAAAAGGUUUUCCUUCGAGGGCACCCCUCAAUCUCUAUGAUAAUUUCUUCAUGUCUUCUCCAGGGGCCAGGGGGGUCUCCUUAUAUAGUCCUCCUCCUCUAUGCGUUUUUGGGUCGGUAGGCGAGGUGGUACUAUGUUUUUCUUGAUCGAAUAGGUCGGUGGAACAUCCCGUGCGAAGAGAGUCCCGAACUAGAUCCAGCAGGGGGCGGGCGCCCAGGUCACCAAGGCGGGCGCCCUAGGCCUGGCCCCUUUCGGCCUCUGCCUUCUUCCCGUGGCUUCUGGAGUCUUCUAGAUGGUAGAAAAUCGUGUGGUGCGUUGAUAUCUCUAUGUAAUCCCGACAUGUGGGCCUUUCUUCCUUAUUUCCUGAUAACCCCCUGCAGAAACAGAUAAACAACAAAACUCGUGGAAUUCUGUCAGAUCAAACCCUAAUUCUAGGUGUUGGUUGUAUAUUGGUCAUUUCCCUUGUUUAUUUGAUAAUUAAAAUUGAUACUUAAGAACCGUCAACAAAUACCCCCAUACUUAGGCUUUUACUCGUCCUCGAGAAAAGGAUGGUUAAGAACAAUAUCUGGGGUAAAACAUUUUAAAAGCAUUCUCUUUAUAAUUGCAGGGUGUUAAAAAUCCACUGUGUACUAUAGUCAGGGAUGUUUAUGGUUAAGAGUAAAGAUCCUUUCUUCUCAAUCCUGUCACUUGGAGUUUUUGUAUAUUUUUUUGAAAGAAAGUUAGCAUACCUUUUUAUCCUCAUAGGUUCUUCUCAGAUCACUCAUUAUCUUUUAUAUAUCUCACUGAGGUUGUUUUAUUUUGCUAAAAUUAUACUUACUUUGCAUUUAUUGCCUGAUCAAAACGGGAUCCGAGGAGGGGAAUGUCAUACUCUUAGAUCAAAGACUUUGGAAAUUAAAAUCUCUGUCAACUCUUGCUGGCAUAUUGCUUAUUAGAGGGACCAUGGGCUAUCAUUUUCUCUUUUUCUUCUUUUUUUUAAGUGGAUACCGAGGUAUCCCUAAUUCUACUGCCGGACACUUGUCCAUUUUUUCUGCAAGGUUGUCGAGCACUUGCUCCUUUUUAUUUCCUCGAAAUAUCUCUAUUUUUGCAUAGCCCAUGCCUCUAAUGCAAUAAUACUUCGGAAGAGUGAAUCUUUCUGAAUAAAUGUCUUGAUCUUAGGAGCAUGAUAAACCUCUCAACAAGGGUCUAACUCAUUUUGAACAAACUCAAUACAGAGGAGAUAGCUUUUAUAAUCAUAAUUAAUAUUUUUAGUUUUAUCAGGCAUAUAAAACACUGAGGAUGGUAGCUAGAGUUUUGAAUAUUUUGAAAUAAAUUUUCCAAGUAGCAAUGACAUCAAGAAUAAGAAACUCAUACUCUACCAUCACAUAUUCCAUAUUGACUUAAGUAACACUGGGUUUUAAAAUGAUUUUAUAAUAGUUGCAAGUUUUCAGGAAAUAUCAUAGAUUGAGAUUAACCAUGAUUAGAAAUAUUUUAAUCUUUUUAAUUUAUCAUGUCGGAAACAAUAUUCUGCAUAAUCCAAAAUAUAUGUAUGUGUAAAGUAAAGUGUGCAGAGUGUGUACCUGAAUCGUGGAGUGGUGUGGUCGGAGUGUGUUUGGCAUGUCGAGGGAUCUCCCCCAUACUUGUUUUCUGCUUUCUUGCACAAAAAUAAAGUAGAGACACACAAGACAUAAUAAUAAUAAUAAUAAUACUCUUUAUUAAUCUUGAGGCAUUUAUUACAAAAUACUAGUAGCAAACUGAUAGCAAACUGAUGAUAAUAGUAAACCUAAACCGAAUUUAAAGAUAUAUAACUAAGAUGCAUUGCCUCAAGGUCUAAUCUAGAUAACUUAGCGGCGCUUUAAUUCCCUAAUCUUCUUGUUGGCACUGGCAAGAUCAUGCCUAUGGCCUAGUAUAAUAGUGUUGUGGUUAGAGAGCUGCCUAGUGAGGGAAUUAAUCGAGGACUAGAGGUCUAUGAUAACUCUGUCUAGUCUGCGAACGUCCUCAUCAAUAUCCAUUAUAGUCUUGCGACGCUUGGGAGGUGUCUCAAAAGCAUUGAGAGCGUGCUUCGGGGCUGCCUUUGGAGGGAUGAAACGGACUUUGGCUGCUCUAAUCCCUUCAAAGUAAGGCCUUUCCUCCUCCGUAGUGUAGCGUACGCUGCUGAUCUCGCCGCUCCAGUUGGUCUUGACUCCAACGACUCUCUCAUUGGGUCUAGGUGGAAGGAUCCUUGUGCCGGUUGGCACCUUGAUGGUGGUCUUCGUCUUGGAGUAGGGGUUGUGACGGUGCGGUGAACUGGUUGAGCAUGGUAGGAUUGGACGGAGCUGCGUUGGCGUAAUGGCAUGGCUUCUUGCUGUCGCUCUGUGUUGGCCGGGACGAGAGCACGAGCAUCAGGGUCUUCCACAGGCUCCAUGUUGAGGUUGAAGGGGACGACUUCCCAAUCAUCGUGGUACUUCUCGGCCAUUGGAGCAGCAAGGAACUAAUCAAGCUCUAAUUGAAGGAGAGAAGGCUUGGUGGCUUGGUGUUUGAAAACUGAGGUCAGGGGUCUGUUUAUAUAGGGGUCAAAAAGUGCCUCUAUGGGUUGUUCGGGUUGCUCCCGUCGAUGUGCGUACGAAACUUUCCAUCCGAGGGAUUAUUCGGAUUACCAUAAGUGCAUUCUCCAUAACAGAGAAAAUCGGGACCGAGGGGGAACAGGAGCAGGGCGCCCGCCCACCUGAGCUGGGCGCCCGCCCUCUCUCUGGCCCCUCUGUGGGCCCACUUUCUCGAGCACGUUUCUAGAUGCGAAAUUAUUUAGAAAAAUAUAUAUAUGACCCAAAAACAUCAGACUAAAAAGGUCGGGCUCUAAUUCUCCAUGGGAAGGUAAAAGUGGACUACGUCUAUUUCUUCUAAUUCUUUAUUAGGCUCUAAAAAUAAUUUAAGACGUUGACCAUUUACCUUGAAUAACGUACCUUCGUCAUUUUGAAGUAUAAUAGCUCCGUGGGAUGAUGAAUUAAUUACCUUGAAUGGUCCUUCCCAUUUGCUCUGGAGUUUUCCAUGCCCGAAAAGCUUCACCUUGGAAUUAAAAAGUAAUACCUUAUCUCCGGGUGUGAACUCCUUCUUCUUGAUUCUCUUGUCAUGCCACCUUUUGACUCUUUCUUUGUAAAUCUUUGAGUUGUGAUAUGCCUUCUAUCGCCAUUCUUCCAAUUCUGAUAGUUGCAUUUUUCUAUAAUCUCCAGCAACAUCUAGGUCCAUAUUCCAUCUCUUUAUGGCCCAGUGUGCUUUGAACUCUAGUUCAACAGGUAGAUGGCAAGUCUUCCCGUAUACCAAUUGGUAUGGAGACAUUCCAAUUGGGGUCUUGUAUGCUGUUCGGUAUGCCCAGAGUGCAUCGGGUAACUUGUCUUUCCACGCCGUUCCUAUUUCAUUUACUGUCUUCUGAAGAAUAUUCAUGAUUUAUUUGUUGGAAGUCUCUGCUUGGCCACUUGUCUGAGGAUGAUAGGGGGUAGCGACGUUGUGACGGAUUCCGUGUUUUGAUAGAUAUUGCUUGAAGCGUUUGUCGAUGAAGUGUGCUCCUCCAUCACUUAUCACUACUCUGGGGACUCCAAAUCUUGGAAAUAUAAUUUCUUCAAACAUCCUCUUUGAACUGAUGUUGUCGGCAUGCUUGCAAGGUAAUGCCUCUACCCACUUGGAGACAUAGUCAACCGCCACCAAGAUGUACUCACACUUCUUUAAUGGAGGAAAUGGACCCAUGUAGUCUAUUCCCCAGACAUCAAAUAGCUCAAUCUGAAGGUUGUUGGUGAGUGGCAUUGCAUCCCUUGUAUUUAUGUUUCCGUACCUUUGACAUGGCCCACAUCUUCUGAUAUAUUGCUUCGUGUCUUCAUACAUUGUAGGCCAGUAGAAUCCACACUGCCAGAUCUUUGAAUGUGUACGGAAUGCUCCAUAGUGACCUCCAUAUGGUGAUGAAUGACAUCUGUCGAUGAUCUUCCAUCCUUCCUUAGUGGUCACGCAUCUCCUGAGUAAGCCAUCAGAGCAUACUCGGAAGAGGUAGGGCUCAUCCCAUAUAUGUGAACGACUUUCUUGAAUAAGCUUCUUCUUGUUUGCUCCUAGUGGUACAUACCCUGAAACCAUAAAAUUAACAAUAUCUGCAUACCAGGGGUCAGACCUGUUAAUCCCGUAGAGCAUGUCGUCCCGGAGUGAAUCAUUGAUGGGGCUUUCUUGUGGACUCUUAAAAUACAUUCUAGAUAAGUGAUCAGCAACAGAAUUUUCUACUCCCUUUUUAUCUGUUAUUUCUAAGUCAAAUUCUUGGAGUAAUAAGAUCCAUCUAAUCAGGCGAGGUUUAGCAUCUUUUUUAGUGAGCAAAUAUUUUAGUGCAGCAUGAUCAGUGUAAACAAUUAUUUUAGCUCCAACUAAAUAAGAUCUAAAUUUAUCAAUGGCAAAGACAAUAGCCAGAAGCUCUUUUUCAAUGGUUGCAUAAUUAAGUUGAGCUCCUGUUAAAGUUUUACUGGCAUAAGCAAUUGCAUGAUGCUUCUUAUUUUUAGUUUGUCCCAAUACUGCCCCCACAGCAUAAUCACUAGCAUCACACAUAAUUUCAAAAGGCAACGACCAAUCGGGGGGUUGAAUGAUUGGUGCAGAGAUGAGUGCUUUCUUUAAUAAAUUGAAAGAUGUUAGACAUGCAUCAUCAAAUUCGAACGGAGCAUCCUUGCCUAGCAAAAGAGUAAGUGGUCUAGCAAUAAAUGAAAAAUCUUUUAUGAAUCUACGAUAAAAGCCAGCAUGGCCAAGAAAGUUUCGAAUUCCUUUUAUAUUCACAGGUGGAGGUAGUUGUUCAAUUACUUCAAUUUUAGCUUUGUCUACCUCAAUUCCUCUUUCAGACACUAGGUGUCCCAGCACUAUUCCUUCCCUAACCAUAAAAUGACAUUUUUCUCAAUUAAGAAUUAAGUGCUUUUCUUCACAUCUUUGCAAAACCUUGUCUAAGUUUUCAAGACAACUAUCAAAAGUUUUUCCAUAAACAGAGAAAUCAUCCAUGAGAACUUCCAUAAUCUCUUCAAUCAUAUCGGAAAAUAUAGACAUCAUGCAUCUUUGAAAAGAAGCUGGUGCAUUACAUAACCCAAAAGACAUUCUACGGUAAGCAUAAGUUCCAUAUGGGCAUGUAAAAGUGGUUUUGCUUUGAUCAUCGGGAUGGAUCGGAAUCUGAUGAUACCCUGAAUAUCCAUCUAAGAAACAGAAAAACGAAUGGUUUGCUAACCGCUCUAGCAUCUCAUCUAUAAAAGGUAAAGGAAAGUGAUCUUUUCUCGUGGCUUUGUUUAGUUUUCUAUAGUCUAUGCACAUCCGCCAUCCUAUGACGGUGCGUUGCGGAAUUAGCUCGUUCUUUUCAUUCAUAAUAACAGUCAUGCCUCCCUUUUUAGGCACAACUUGCACUGGGCUUACCCACUCACUGUGCGGCACAGGAUAUAUAAUCCCUGCAUGCAGUAACUUUAUAACUUCCUUUUUAACUACCUCUCUCAUAGUGUUAUUAAGUCUACGUUGGGGUUCUCGAGAGGGUGAAACAGAAGGAUCUGUUGGAAUACGAUGGGUACAAAUCAUAGGACUGAUUCCUGUAAGAUCUUGGAGUGAGUAGCCGAACACUGAGUGAUGUUUCUCAAGAAUGGUCAUUAAUCGCAGAGUUUGAUCCUGAGUGAGUUUAUCGCUAAUGAUCACAGGGAACUCUGGAUUAUUGUUUAGGAAAGCAUAUAUAAGACCGGGUGGUAAAGUUUUAAGCUCUAUGGGGGGUCUAGGUGCUUCUGCAAACUCAUCUAAGGGUUCAGGCUCAGAAGGUUCGGCUUCUUCUUCUAUGAAGAAAGGAGUUUCGUCUUCUAAGUCUGGUUCAUCUAAAAGCUCUAGAGAUGCAGCCUUUACCUCCUCCAUAGGAUCAGGCAAAAGAUAUGAUUCGGCCUUAUUGUUUAAGGAGUGUGAAAUUGUUAUUGGGAAUUUAAAAGUUUUUCCAAAAGAAAUGUGUAGCUUUCCAGUAUGACCUUCAUAAAGGAGUCUUCUAAAAGGUUGUCCUAUCAACAGGUCGAAGUCCCAUGUAUCAAAGAUAUAGAAGUUCAAAUGAACCAUGGAGCCUUCUACCGUAAGAGGUAGGACAUUAAUAAUUCCAAGACUGGGGACUAAUCGUCCCGAAGAUUCCUUUAUGACCUUUGUUGUGGGGGUUAAGGCAAGAUUUUUAAAUAGUUUAAGUGCAAAAGAUUCAGACAUGAUGUUGAUCCCCACAACAGGAUUAUAUAGAGCAUUAAAUCGAUCAGAAUUAUAAGCACAGCGUAUAGUUAUAGAGGGUGUGUCCAAACGGAUCACAUCAGAGGAAAGCUCUGAUUCCUCCAACCAUUCGCUACUCAUUACUGAGAUAAGCUCUCUUAAUUGUUGUUCACUUGGCAAAUAAAUGCUCAACUGGCCGUUUUGGGGUUUGUCAAUAGAAUGAUAGUUUAAAAUGUUUCCAAAAUUGGCAAAAAGAUCGGAUUCUAUAUCCAACAUGAAGUCCGGUGGUGGAAUUUCUUCCUCUUGUGGCUCAGAACUUGGGAUAGCUAAAGUAGAUGAAGAAUUUGGCAGAGUGUCUACUUCGGCUUCGUAGGUUUCAUCAUGAAGGGUAUUAUCCAUCUCAGCUUCUAGGAUUCUAUCUAGGAUCACUCUAGCUUCAUCAGUAGGGAUGCGAAAGAAAGAACCUCUAGACAUUGUGUGUAGCAUUUGUUUGUGAUUUUUCUGAAGACCUCGAAAAAAGUGAAAUAAAAGAACAGGGUCUUCAAGAUUAAGGUUUGGACCAGAUUCUAAAAGAUCAGAAAAACGUUUCUAGGAUUUUCCCAAAGUUUCAUUAUCUUUUUGUUUAAAAGAUAGGACUUCGAGUCUAAGGUUGGCUAUACGGUCAAGGGAAUAGAAAUCCAGACAAAAGUUGGCUCGUAAAACUCCCCAUUCACCUUGUUGUUGACUUACCUUCUGACUGUACCAUUGUCUAGCUUCUCCCCUUAAAGAAAAAGGAAAAAGCUUCCAACGUAAAGUUUUAUCAGAAAUGCCUUCAAUGCGAAGACAAUCACAUGUUUGCUCAAAAUCUCUAAUAUGAAGGUAAGGGUUUUCGUCUUCCAUUCCCAAAAAAGAUAGGUUUUGAAUCAUGGCAAUCAACCUAGAACUUAACUUAUACUGGGAUGUUUGGAUAGGCUGUGAUGAUUCCCAUGGUAAAAGGUCAGUUACUGAAGGGAUUGCAGACUCAUGGAUCGAUUUAGAAUUUUGGUUUUCCAUAAGGUAAGAGUAAAGAAAAUAAAUAAAGAAUAUAAAAGAUAAGAAAAGAUAAAAGUAUAGAUACAAGCUAGUAGUAAGACUCAAGGUUAUCUCAGCAAUCGUCUUUCUCCCCGGCAACGGCGCCAGAAAUGCUUGUUGAUAUUUGGGAAUGCAAUAAGGAAUUGAUCCGCAAGCGCACGGAUAUCGGUGAGCACUUCACCCAGGAGGUUAUCCAGAGUAUCGUAUUUAUUUUUUUACCACUAGGAGAAAGAGUGCAUCUGACUAACCGGUCUAUUACUACUAACCCUUUAGGCACAAAGAAUGUCUCUCGAUGUGAGUGAUAAAUAGAGAAGACUGCAACCGUAGUCUCCUUCUAACCUUGGUAAGGAUGAUUUACUGUUCUAUUGGGGAGGCUAACGGAAUCUAGACACCACAAAGGAUGUUCAACCCGCACCUAUAAACCCUAUCCUUCCUGCUAACGAGAUAUGGUCUUCAAAGGUAACUCGGAAUUGUCACGUUCCUCACUACUACCACGGUCCAGCUAGUUAGGGAAUAUCUAUGAGUACCCCAGCCUAAACACCAAGUUUACGCCAGUAAUGAUUACUCUAAACUCUACACGAAGAGAUUAAAGUAAACUCAUAAACCAUAAGAACAAUAAAACAAGAACUUACUAGAAUUUAGAAGUCGAAAUACUGAAGAAUCCUAGGAGCAAGCUUCGGGUUAGGAGAACUUGAUCCCACAGGUACAAGCUUGGAGUAGACACCGACAGGCCGGGCUUCCUCCAAUCUACACCUCCACUCUAUCUCUCUCAAUCUAGUAGAAACUAGAAGAUCUAUUUCUACUUUACAUUGGUUGCUAAGCCUAAAAAGAAAUAUUAAUAAGAGAAGAGGUUUUCCUUCGAGGGCACCCCUCAAUCUCUAUGAUAAUUUCUUCAUGUCUUCUCCAGGGGCCAGGGGGUCUCCUUAUAUAGUCCUCCUCCUCUAUGCAUUUUUGGGUCGGUAGGCGAGGUGGUACUAUGUUUUUCUUGAUCCAAUAGGUCGGUGGAACAUCACGUGCGAAGAGAGUCCCGAACUGGAUCCAGCAGGGGGCGGGCGCCCAGGUCACCAGGGCGGGCGCCCUGGGCCUGGCCCCUUUCGGCCUCUGCCUUCUUCCCGUGGCUUCUGGAGUCUUCUAGAUGGUAGAAAAUCGCGCGGUGCGUUGAUAUCUCUAUGUAAUCCCGACAUGUAGGCCUUUCUUCCUUAUUUUCUGAUAACCCCCUGCAGAAACAGAUAAACAACAAAACUCGUGGAAUUCUGUCAGAUCAAACCCUAAUUCUAGGUGUUGCUUGUAUAUUGGUCCUUUCCCUUGUUUAUUUGAUAAUUAAAAUUGAUACUUAAGAACCGUCAACACAAACUUCAAUGGUUCAAUAAUAGUGGUAAGACUAAAGUAAAUAAAUCAGUUUGCAUUAGCUUUUUCACAGGCAUUUAUCAUGAUACUGUUGAUUUUGAUGUUGUACCUAUGCAAGCUUGUUCAAUUUUAUUAGGACGUCCAUGAGAAUUUGAUAAUGAUGCUUUACACCUUGGUAGAACUGAUACAUAUACUCUCAUGCAUAAGGACAAGAACAUUACUUUGCUGCCUUUGUCACCUAUGAAUAUUGUUAAACAUGCUAAAGAGAUUAACAAUAAACCUCCAAUAGACAUUGAUAAAAUUAAUGGGAUUAAGUUACAAGGAGGUGCUUUACUUUGCUACAACUUCUGCUACUACUAAGUUAUGUGAUAAUCCAGAUGCACCAUGUUAUACUAUGUUUUGUCAAACUAUUAUGUCUUGUGCAUUGCCUGUUGUUACUAACCUUUUGCAGGAGUUCAUUGAUGGAGAAGAGUCGAGGACGACUCCGAUUCUAGGAGGAGGGGAUGAUGAGGACAUAACCAAGAUGGAGUCGAGGACGACUCCAAUUCAAGAAGGGGAGGAUGAUGAGGACAUCGCCACGCUGGGCACAUCGACACCAUUGUCUUUCUCAAGUUGCAAUUCAUCUCCAACUUAGCUACCACGUCACUCUUGGAUUCAGCAGACACGUCGUUAGUGUUUCUAUCAUAACUUCUUCAUACGGCAUCAAAACGGGGUGAUCUUGGACUCGUUGGAAAGAGGACGACACUGCCGUCGUUUUGGAUCUGGUCCCAGCUCCAGAUCAUUCAUUGAUUAAUCUGUAUGACCAUGAUAAGUUGUUGCAUCACCUAUUUUGAGCCAACUUGGCCAUGUAUCGAGUCGGGCCUUAAGCCCAAGUUGUGGGCGUCUCUCCCUGGUCGCCUCCAAACCUAGGACGCCUCUCUUUUAUAUUUCAUGCAACCACCAUUGUUUAGACACAAGUUUUGAUUAGAGUUUAGUUUUCCACCGAGAAACUGAAUCGAUCAUUGUAACUGUGGUGUCAAAUUCUUUUACAGUGAUCCAGGGCUCCCGUUCUUGAUCUCCUCCACUGUGUCGAUUAGUCCUUUGGAACCGAGUUCUUGAACCCUCUUUGAUAUUCACAUCAACUCAUAUUUGCAAUUUCAAAUUGUGUGUUUAUAUUUUCUUGCUUAUGUUCUUCGAUUCACUUGCAGAAACAGUCUUUUUGGUGAGGUCAAUCAAGUUGUGUUUGGUUGAUAACCAACGGAGCAGUGGUGUAACGGUUGCAGGAUUCGAAUCGUGUCUGAUUUAAAGCCGGAUCGGUAACAAGCACACCAGCAGCUGGGCUGAAGGGUGACCAGCGGUGCGGGAGUGGUGAAUUUUCUUUUGUAAAUUUGAUGUCGGUCUCUAUAAUCUGAAUAACACAUGCAAAAUUUUUUACCAGCUCUGUAGAUCUAAGGUUCGCCUCUCUAAUGUGAACAACAUGGACAUAAGUUUUUACCGCCUCUGUAAAAUGUGAUUAGCAGAGACCCUCAACUAGAGGCAGAGGUACUCCUUGAUCUAGAGAUGAGUUUUGUCCGCCUUGUAACAGUGAGAUGACAAAAAAAUCAAAUUGUGGGCCUUUUUAGCUUUAUUAGGAAGAUACUACAUAGGAUAAAUUAAGUCCCCUACUUACUUAUUUUGUUAAAUUGUUAAACCAGUCUUAAUGAACAAUGUCACUGCACGGUUUCACAUACCAACACGUCAUCAAGAUUGAAAUGAAACCAUCUAUGAGAUAAUCCCAGCAAUGAAGCAUUUCACUUUGUUGUUUCCAAGGCUAAGCAAAGCAUUUAAUUGCUGCAAAAUGAUUGGAUCACAUGCAAGAUGCUGAAAUAAUUUGACCCUCAGUGGGGAUUUCAUCCAGUUUCACUGCGUGGGAAACAACGCCCGCGGAGUUUCACUGAAACUACUUCCUUCUUUCUCCUCUUCGUUUCAUGCAAAAAAUAUAGUUUUGUUGACAUGGCGCUCUAAUAAAUGUGCUUGAUAUUCUAGUGAAACCCCCACUGAGACUGGUCUUGGGUCAGUGAUUUAGUAAGUGAAUUCUAUAAAGUUCUUGGAGAUUCUCUCGAUCAAAUACAAAACUAUUACAAAGCUUUUAAAAACAAAUUAGUGAGUUGUUUCGAGGAAUUGUUGGAGACACUCUAAUAUUAGAAGCAGACACAUGCUAUGCUGCCAGUUCUAAACCAAAGCAUGCGGUCCACAGGGUUCUGUAUAUAUAAUAAUAGUGGUGCUAUGUAAUGAUGGCCCUGCCAAGUGCUGACCCAGCGGCACCUCACUCGUCGAUAAACUAUGGUGAUGAGCCAGAUUAAACUAACCUCAAUCAUGUCAGUAGCUAGCAUUAGAAUAAUAAUAAAGCAGCACCUGAUGCCAGCUGUAGAAAAAGCAGAUUAUUAUAUAUAUUAUAUAAAAGCACAAUUUGGCAUGGAAUGCAACGCAAGUGGGCGCGUACAGACGACGAUGGCCCUCACAUGCAUAUGCAUGCGCUCGCAAAGCUAGCUCGAUCGUGGUGGCAGCGGCAAGGCAACCAAUGGAGCCGUCCAAGAUCUCGAAACAACACGUUAAGAGACGAGGGAAACGUCGUCUUAUACCAGAAGACUGUUCGCUUAUUAAAAAAACAUAAUUACAAAUUCUUAUUUACUUAUAAGAGAAAAACACUGAUAAGAUAAAAAAAAGUACUAUAACAAACGAACGGAACGUUCUGCGAGUCCGUCUCUGUGCGUAGGCCGAAGGGUGCUGCGGAUUGAGCAGUGUCCAGUGUGCGUGACCGCCAUGGCGCGCGCUUUUGCAUUGGUCCGCACACGUGUGCGCGUCAGCUCCUUGUCCCGCGGCGAAACCUUUGCAUGCCCGGCCCGGCCGCCGCCGCCUCCACAUCCAAAUAUUCUUUCACCUCGAAUGCCCAAAAAAAGGAACACGCACAAAGCAUGUAGCGACGCCCUUCUUUUAGUGUCAUGCACGGACCAAGAAUUCAUAUACCGCUGCUCUACACAAUAUCAUCCUUAUUAAGGCCUUGUUUAGUUGUAAAAUUUUCCAGAUUCUCCAUUACAUGGCAUAUGUAUGGAAUAUCAAAUAUAGAUAAAAGAAAUAAUUAAUUGAAUAAUUUGUCUAUAAUUUGUAGGAUAAAUAUUUUGAGCCUAAUUAGUUCAUGAUUAGACAAUAUUUAACGAAAGUACUUGUUGACGGCGCUGUUUUUGGACGCGUACCUAGGGAUCGGUAAAGAAUAGAUUGACAGAAGGAACAACGGUAACUGGUCUACAGAGAAGUUGUCGAUGAGGGUGAUUGCCGAUGAAGAGACAGCUGAAUGUGACUAAGUCUAGAAGUGGUGACGCGUUCGUGCCGAUGGUCAGCGUUAGUCUUUGCCGAUGACUAUGAUAAGAAGUCUGCCGAUGACUCGGAAGGAGAACGUGGGGGUUGCCGAUUAACCUGUGGUGGUGUCCCGGUCUGUUACGGGAGGAUAGUUUUAUGUUUUCCAUAGAUAUUUAAAUUCGUUUUGUAUACGGAUUCCGUUUAAUUUGGAGUUCGAGUCCUAGUCGUGUCUGAUUGUAGCUCUUUGAGCAGGGUAUAAAUGUAGACCCUAAGGCCUUGUAAUGAGACAUCUAUCAAUCAAUCAAACACAAGUUUUUACUCAUAUUCCAGUACCUACUUUUUCGACGACUUCGUCAUAUUUUUUCCUUUUAUUACGAGUUCUUAGGAGUUCGUCGACUUAAGCUCGGCGUAUUCUCGAGUUCCGCGUGAAUACCUCUUGGCCGUGACAUCCGGGCGCAUCGCUGUUGUCGGGACCAAAGUAUUCAAGUUAUCACCUUUGUCGAUAGUAAGGUCAAAUCGGCUUGCACGCCUUAACGUUUGAAUCGCGUAUUAGCCCUUUGUGUUUGCAGAUCAACUUUUGCACCAACACAUCUUUUGGCGCGCCCGGUGGGACCCUGAUUCAAGACCAAGAUCGACAUGGCGACUAGCGAUUUCGACUUGGAGAACGUCAUCCCCGUGACGGAAGCAAAGAAAAAAAUAGCGGGCUAUAGCGGCGCUAUAGCGGCGCUAUAGCUGCUGAACAGACUUGCCGCUAAGCUAUUUGCAUUUUUUCCGCUAUCACAACUUCCACCGCUAUUACGCGCUAUAGUGCCGCUAAGUUGCAUUUGUUACAACAAAUUUCACCGCUAUUACGCGCUAUAGUGCCGCUAUGAUAAAUCUUCUCAGUUUGACUCUCAAAACUCCAUCUUAGACUAGAUUAUCAUUUAUUUCUUUACUACUAAUUUAAUAUUUUGAAUAAUGAAACUUUCAUGAAACAUGUUGUAAUGCAAUAUUGGUAUUUUGUAAUGUUACCUAGACUUAUGAAAACAUAUUUUUAUACAUCAAAUUCAUAUUUACCAUGUCUUUUUAAUCAAUUACUCGUGUUUUUCAUGUAUUUUUAUAAAAAACGCUAUCUGUCAUAGCGCCGCUAUAGCACUGCUAUAGCUGCAUAGCUUCUGAAAAAAAGUUGCCGCUAUUUUCAAUAGCCUGCUAUUUUAAACUUUGGACGGAAGCCAAUCUCAGAGAUGAGCAGAAGCAAGCUAUCGCAAAAACCAUAGAGGACUACAAGCAGCAAUGUUUGAAAUCCUUCAGUAUCAACAGGAGUGGCGAAGUAAUCCAGAAAGAAGCAUUGCCGGCACCUCGGCAGGUUACUUUUGAAGCCAACUCUGGUAAACUUUAAGAUAUGGUUGAUAGUGCUAUUAAUCGUGCCUUGAUCAAUCAAGCUGGUGUGCUGUCCAAUACGGUUUUUAAUGCCGUGGCUAGAACUUUCAAAGAAGGACAAUUGCCACCAAAUUAUGUGGGCUUUGUCUAUCAUCAGCCGGGAUAACCAGUAGUCACAGCUCCAUCGGCUGUUACAGCCGCUGCAGGCACAGAAACUGCCGUUCCUCCAAGUAUGUUGGGAGUCACUAAUGCACAGACCACACCGAUGACAACCAAUCCAUCGACAUCAGAUGAGUCAAUCAAGCUAGCCAUAGAUUUAUUGGCAUCGGCAAUGUCGGGAUCUGUUCCCCUAACUGGUGGGGUUUUGGUAUGCCCCAGAGUUCAUGUUGAAGACACCCGGCACAUCUCAGACGGCUGAUAUGAGAGGCAAAGCUCCUAUGACAUCGGCACCUCCAAAUAUACCGAUGAAUCAGAGUCCCCAGUAUACUACAACUACUACUGCAAGACCUUACACGGGGAAUUCUCAAGCUCCCACAUUCCAGAUGCCUAACGCAUCGGCAGAUUCAAUGCCGACGCAGCAGAGGUUCAUGACUCAACCAAGGUAUGUCAAAUCAAUGAUGAUGCCCAAUUACCAGUCAUCGGCAGGGCUUAUGCCGAUGAAUCCUAAUAAUGGAUGGACAGGACAGCAAGUCUUUCUACAGAUGCCUCAACAGAAUCAUCAGGCUACAGGGUUCUAACAAGGCCAGAUCCAACCUGGGUUCCAGAAUCAAGGGUUGGCCAACCAGCCGAUGAAUCUUGGUCAAUAGUUUGGUGGUCAGACGAUCAACCCGAUGUUCCAUGCAGAUCGUGCGCCUCAGCGACACGUGGAGGUUUAUCAGCAGGCACCAGAUCCACAACCACCUCAUCGGCAAGAUGUCGAUGCUUAUUGGACCGAUAAGAUUGCUGAAGUAAUGAGAGACCAGUUUGGGAUAAAACCCAAAGUCAAUACUUACUCUUAUCGGACACCGUAUCCUCCUGCAUAUGAUUUAAUCCCACUUCUAAAUCGGUACAAGGUACCCGAUUUUACUAAGUUUUUUGGACAGGAUGACAUGUCAACUAUGGAGCAUGUCAAUAGGUUCAUCAUCCAAUGUGGCGAGGCUGCUAACAGAGACGAAUUGAGGGUUCGCUUGUUCUCGUCAUCCUUGUCUGGAUCGGCUUUCACCUAGUUUAUUUCAUUGCCUCCUAACUCAGUGAUUACUUGGGCCGAUCUAGAGAAGCAAUUCCAUAAAUACUUCUUUUCUGGAGUCCAUGAGAAGAAGAUCACCGAUUUGGUCAAAUUGAAGCAAUGCAAUGAUGAAUCGGUUGAAAGUUUUGUGCAGGGAUUGUAGGAGGUCAAGAACAAAUGCUAUAGUCUGGUUUUGGACGAUCGGCAACUAGCCGAUUUGGCUUUCCAAGGUUUGUUGCCACACGUCAGGGACAAGUAUGCCUCUCAAGAGUUCAAAAGCUUAAGUCAUUUGGUGCAGAGAAUUUCUGAUCAGGAUAUCAGACCUUUUGAGCUCAAGAGAGCAUGGAACAAAAAGGUGUCAUUUGUUGAUGAAGCGACAAGCUCGGAUUCUGAUGAGGAGCCGGUCAUCAGUUUGGCAGAGUGGGUAAAAAACAAGAAGCCGAUGUCUUACCCUUUUGGACAUAAAGAGCCGGAGAAGUUCGCAUUUGAUAUUACUAAAGCCGAUAGAAUAUUUGACUUUCUACUUCAGGAAGGCCAGAUCAAGUUGUCGCCCAAUCAUGUGAUUCCAUCGGCUGAAGAGUUAAAGAAGAUGAAAUAUUGCAAGUGGCACAAUGCAACUUCUCACAGUACCAAUGAGUGCAAAGUUUUUAGGCAACAGUUGCAAUCGGCUAUAGAAUCUGGGAGAAUCAAGUUUGACAAUUCCAAAACUCAGAAGCCGAUAAAAAUUGAUCAACAUCCUUUCCCAACAAAUAUGCUGGAUGCUAAGGGGAAAGCCAAGGUCUUGACGUCAGAAGUAGCUGAAAGAAGUGCAUCGGUGGAUCCUCAGCAUUAGAUCAAUACUACCGAUGCGAAAGGAAAAGGUUUGAUCCAAGAAGGAAAUAGCUCAGGAAGGCCUCCCCGAUCUGGUAUUGUUAUAACUCAUAGAAGGCCUCGGGAAACUUGGCAGCAACGUGAAGAUCGGUAUCGGCGCCAGCAAGAAGACUAUCAUCGGGAAGAAGAAAGACGCCGACAAGAGUGGAAUUGGCACAGGGAUCACUGGAACUGCCCGUUCUUUAUCCAUUGCUGGGAGCAGAAUAUUAAAUUACCCACUGUUAGAGAUUGCCCGGAGUGCAAUGGUUAUGAUCGGUAUGACAGAUCAGAUCGGUGCUAUCAUGAUGAUGAUCGGCAGCUUAAUGGGCUGAUUAGGGGGAGAGCGUCAGUUCAUGAUCGGCUGGGGGCAGACUCAGCGUACAUGAUAGGCUUGGCGACCGUGUCCAAUAUUUUCCCAGGAACCAGGAAGAGCUUGAAGAAAUGGCUAAUGCACGAGUUCCUGACGAGUUCAUAUUUUGCAGGGACGCUAAUACUCAUCGGAUGGAAUCAAGAGAACAUCGUCGUCCAUCGGCAAGGCAGUCACCACUUCCUCCAUGGUGUUUAGAGGGGUUGACUAAGACACAUAAAAGGAGACUGCAGCGCGAAAGACGAGAAGAACUAAGCAAGGGCGAGAAAUCUGGUCAGUCUGGGGAUCAGCAACAACUGGAUCCUAAGGGGAAAGGGCCAUCGACAGAUGUUAACAUGGUAUUUAUGUUGCCAAUGGAGUUCCUCGCGCCAUCCAGUGAUGAUGAAGAGUUGGAGUUUUCCGACCAAAUAGCUCAGUUGGCUCUGGAUCCGAUGACAGCUAUCUUUGAAAAGCCUGCCGACAAUGAAAGGCAGCAUCUUAAAGCCCUGUUUGUCAAAGGAAGAGUUGAUGAUCAGCCGAUGACCAAGAUAUUGAUUGAUGGUGGAGCUGCUAUCAACAUCAUGCCAUAUGCAGUCUAUCGGAAGCUUGGAAAAGGAGAUCAAGAUCUGACCAAGACCGAUAUGAUGCUAAAAGACUUUGAGGGAAAUGUAUCUCCGGUUAAGGGAGCAGUCUGUGUCGAGUUGACCAUCGGCAGCAAAACCUUGCCAACAACUUUCUUUGUGAUCGGUGGAAAAAGGUGCUUAUAAUCUGCUGCUAGGGAGAGACUGGAUUCAUGUCAAUUGUUGCAUUCCAUCAAUAAUGCACCAAUGCUUGGUCCAAUGGGUAGGUGACAAGAUUGAGAUUGUCCCGGGAGAUUCUUCCUAUGUUAUUGCAUCGGCAAAAGCGGACACUUAUGAAAGGACUAGGUGCAUCUCGGGAGAGAUUUGGGAGAAGAAUUUCCUCAAAGUUGCCGAUUAUAAAAUUCCACUGAUCCAAGCAGUCGGUUCUGAUGAGGAGUUUUAAUGGAUAGGUUCGCCGAUGAUGAAAAAUUAGGCCAGGGAUUCACAUCGGCCGAUGAUUUAGUAGAGGUAGAUAUAGGUAGUGGUGAUAAACCUAAACCUACUUUAAUUAGUGCUAAGUUAAAUUCUAAGUAUAAGCAGCAGUUAACUGAUUUGUUAAAGGAAUAUAAAGAUUGCUUUGCUUGGGAUUAUACUGAGAUGCCUGGUUUGGACCGAUCGAUUGUUGAACAUCGGUUGCCUAUCAAAUCUGGAUUUCGGCCACAUCAACAGCCAGCUCGCCGAUGUAAUCCUAAUAUUCUUCCUAAUAUCAAGGCCAAAAUAACUAAACUUAUCGAGGCUAGAUUUAUUCGGCAGUGUCGGUAUGCCGAGUGGAUUUCCAAUGUUGUUCCAGUCUACAAGAAAAAUGGGAAGCUUCGGGUUUGCAUUGAUUUCAGGAAUCUCAAUAGAGCUACACCGUUGGAUGGCUAUCCAAUGCCAGUUGCCGAUCUGCUAGUUGAUGCUGUGGCUGGGCAUCGGAUCAUCAGCUUUAAGGAUGGCAAUGCAGGGUACAAUCAGAUAUUCAUGGCUGAAGAAGAUAUUCCAAAGACUGCAUUUAGAUGUCCUGGUCAUGUUGGGUUGUUUGAAUGGAUAGUCAUGACCUUUGGCUUGAAAAAUGCUGGUGCUACUUAUCAAAGGGCUAUGAAUUUUAUUUUUCAUGAGUUCAUCGGCAAGCUGGUGGAAAUUUAUAUUGAUGAUGUGGUGGUUAAGUCUGAAGAUUUCACAAAGCAUCUUACCGAUUUACGAAAAGUGUUGGAAUGCACAAGGAAGCAUGGUUUGAAGAUGAAUCCCAAUAAGUGUGCAUUUGGUGUAUCGGCAGGACAAUUCAUUGGUUUCAUGGUGCAUCAAAGGGGAAUUGAAAUUAGUAGGAGAUCCAUUGAUGCUAUCAACAAAAUAGUUGCUCCUACCAACAAAACUGAGCUCCAGUCUUUGAUCGGCAAGGUAAAUUUUAUCAGGAGGUUUAUAUCUAAUUUGUCUGGUAAAAUUCGUGCUUUCAGUCCUCUGCUUAAAUUGAAAGCCGAUCAAGAAUUCAUAUGGCGGAAAGAGCAACAGUUGGCUUUAGAUGAAAUCAAGAACUAUUUGAUAAAUCCUCCAGUUCUGAUUCCACCUCAGCAAGGAAAGCCCUUCAAAUUAUAUUUAUCUACCGAUGGGAUGGUCAUCGGUUCAGCUUUGAUUCAAGAAUUUGAAGGGAAGGAGCGUAUAAUUUACUAUUUAAGCAGAAGAUUGGUUGAUGCUGAAACUAGGUAUUCGGCCAUUGAAAAGUUAUGCUUAUGCCUAUAUUUCUCAUGUAUUAAGUUGAGGCAUUAUUUGUUAUCGGCUGAAUGCACUGUCAUAUGCAAAGAUGACGUGGUCCGAUAUAUGCUGUCUAUGCCAAUUAUGAGUGGUAGGAUCGGUAAGUGGAUUUUGGCACUGUCGGAAUUUGAUCUGCGUUACGAAUCGGCUAAAGCAGUUAAAGGACAGAUUAUGGCCGAUCUCGUGACCCAACAUUACGGUGCAGUGGAAGCUUUGGAAAUUGUACCUUGGACGCUCUUCUUUGAUGGAUCCACUUGUGACCGGGGGGCAGGAAUCGGCAUAGUGUUAAUUUCCCCUCGGGGAAGGAAAUAUGAGUUCUCCUUGCCGAUUGUUGCCACGUCAAUGAAUAAUCAAGCCGAAUAUCAAGCUUUGAUAAAGGGGUUGGAAUUGUUAAGAGAAGUUCAUGCUGAUGCUGUUGAAGUCUUCGGGGAUUCUAUGCUGGUUAUAAAUCAAUUGGCUGGAAACUAUGAAUGCCGAAGCGAAGUCUUGAUAACUUAUUACGAAAGGAGUAUGCAAUUAUUAAGGGAAUUCAGAGAUUUCCAAUUAAAGCAUAUUCCUCGGUUACAUAAUGAGGAAGCUAAUCGGUUGGCUCAGCAUGCUUCAGGGUAUCAACCUAUGGUUAACAUGUUAUCGGCAAUCGGUGCCGAUGAUUGGAGGAAAGAAAUCGUUGGUUAUUUAAAGGAUCCAUCCAAGAAAGUUGAGAGACGUGUUCGAUUUUAAGCUACCAAGUAUGUGCUCCUCGAGGAUGAAUUAUACUACCGAACAAUCGAUGGGGUUCUUCUCAGAUGCUUGAGUGAUGAUGAAGCUAGGAGUUUGAUGGGUGAUUCAUGGAGUGUGUGGAGCACAUCAAUCGGCUUUCAAGAUGAAAUGGAUGAUUAGGAGGAAUGGGUAUUAUUGGCCAACCAUACUUGAAGAUUGCUUUAAAUAUUUCAAGGGGUGUCAAGGAUGUGAAAAAUUUGGCAAUGUUCAAAGGGCACCCGCAUCGGCCAUGAAUCCCAUUAUUAAACCGUGGCCGUUUCGAGGAUGGGCUAUUGACUUAAUCGGCCAGAUUUAUCCACCAUCUAGUAAAGGACAUAAGUUUAUCUUGGUUGCCACCGAUUAUUUCACCAAGUGGGUUGAAGCUAUUCCUUUGAAGAAGGUCACAUCGGCCAACAUGAUUGACUUUGUGAAAGAGCAUAUUGUUUACCGAUUUGGUAUUCCUCAAACAAUUACUACCGAUCAGGGUACUAUGUUUACGUCGGGGGAGUUUGAUGAGUUCGCAAUCGGUAUGGGAAUUAAGGUGUUGAAUUCUUCUCCUUAUUAUGCUCAAGCUAAUGGACAGGCCGAAGCAUCUAACAAAGGAAUUAUCAAACUUAUUAAACGGAAGAUUGAAGAAAAUCUUAGGAGAUGGCAUACGUUGUUGAAUGAAGCUUUAUGGUCAUAUCGGAUGGCUUGUCAUGGGUCGAUCAAAGGUUCACCUUAUCAGUUGGUGUAUGGACAUGAUGCAGUGCUACCUUGGGAGGUUAAGACUGGAUCUAGGCGACUAUCUUUUCAGGAUGAGUUGACUGCCGAUGAUUAUGCUACAUUGAUGACAGAUGAAUUGGAUGAUUUAGCAGGGCACCGGUUGAGAGCUUUGAUAAGCAUAGAAGAAAAUAAGAAAAGAGUUGCCAGAUGGUAUAAUAAGAAGGUAAAGGACAAAGGGUUUGCCGAUGGAGACUUAGUAUGGAAACUAAUCUUACCGAUCCGGACUAAAAGUUCAAAGUUUGGGAAGUGGUCUCCCAAUUGGGAAGGUCCCUAUCGGAUAAAUCGAUCUACUCCUGGCAACGCCUAUAUCUUAGAAACUCUCGAAGGAGUUGAAUUUCCCAGAGCAUUGAACGGCAAAUACUUAAAGAGAUAUUACCCCAGCAUAUGGGUCGAUGCAUAAAAGUUUAAGCACCGAUAACAUUCCUAUCGGCUGGAUCAAACUGUAUCUGGGGCCGGACUUAGUGUUUUGAAAGGGUGCCGAUAACAAUCCUAUCGGCUAGACCAAAAUAGUCAGGAGUGUUUAAAAGAAAAGAGCUGAGCAUGUCGCUGAUGAAGGAUUCAUGUGUUCAGCAGGGCUUGGAUCGUCGUUAUGGCACGCAGACGAAUCUGGUUGGCUUCUUCUAUCUCUUUGAUGUCUUCAUCGAUAGAGCCUUCCAUCGGUUUCAGCUUCUUCAUCUGCAGUGCUUUACGGGCUUGGGUAUUCCGUUCUUGUUCAAGGGUCCUGAUCAUAUCAGGCUGGCUUUCGUCUUGUUGAGCUUGAGAUAGAGCUUCUUCUACCUUUUUGAGUUCUGCCAACAGGGAUCUCUUUGCCGAUAGAUCAGAGAUCUUUUGUUGCAGCACAUCUCUUGAGGAUUUCAUAAUGCCGAUACUCUUAUGUUUCUCAUCGGCAAGGAGCUUCACUUUCAUCAUUUCCUCUGAGAGCUGAGCGUGAGCAGCUCUAUCGGCAAGGCGCUGAGCAGCCCUUUGAUACUGCAGUUGACGACUCUCUAAGUGUGCAGCCUAAAAAAGAAUCUCCUCGAUAUCGGCAGGGAUUUGUCCUCUGAGGGCCUUGAACAGAGCUUUGGCUGGGUCAGAGUCAUUGACCAAUUGCGCUGUAUCUUGAUGAAGAAGGGCUGACAGAUCCUCCAGCUUUGCUCUGAUCUCUGCCGAUGAGAUUUCAAUUGCUCGAGAGGAACUUGCUUCCUUGCCUUCGUCCUCAGAGAUUUCAAUGGCGAAGGAGAACAAGCUGUCGGGAGAGUCCUGUUCCUGAGGAGAAAGAUAAAAUGAGUUAUUUCAUGAUCAAGCACUAGUAACGAUAAAAAUAGAGAUCAGGUAACUUACUUGUUUCAGAUGGAACUAGUUGAGGCCGAUGGAACUACAGGCUGGUCGGCUGGAGUUGCCGAUGAGACUAUGUCAGCUGAAAGAUUAACAGAGGUAAUUAUGAGACGGAAAAGUAGGUUCAUCGGCAAUGAUUUCAUAGAGAAUAUGUUACCUUGAGGGGGUACAGUGCUUGUCUGGAUUGAGGAAACUACCGAUGCUAUGAUUAAGCUUGCUGGAUCGGCAGUUUGCUCGUGCACGUCAGCCGAUGUGUCUUCUGGCUGAGGUUCCUCUGGCUGGAGUUCUUCUGUGUGGGGUUCUUCUUGUGGCUGAGGAGGAGAUGGUGCUUGUUGUGUCUGGACUUCUGGAGAAGAGAGGGAAGAUUCCACCGGGAUCGGUGACCUUGGAGGAGGAGAAGGUGUUGCUGUUCUCUGGCGCUUCGCUUGGGUUCUGGUACUCUUGGAGCUUUUUCUCUUUGGUUGGCUGGACUGGGGGGGCAUCGGCAGUCAUACCUCUAGUCUUUGCCGAUGUGCCAAUAUGCUGAUAUAACAGUAGAGUUUUAUGAGUACAAGUGUAACAAGUAUAAUAAUAGAAUCGGUUGAAAACUUUGAAAGACUACCUUGAAGGCUUGUGCUAAGGCAGUGGCGGCUACCGAUGGAGAUGUCUUCGUCCGCUUGGUGGUGACUUUCUUGAGGCGCACACCCCGAUGCAUUAUAGCAGCCAAGGUUGGAGCGUUGUUGCCGAUUAAAGAGAUCGGGCCCGAUGGGAGAAGCUCAAUCGGUUUGCCACCCCUGCUGACCAAUGGUGGCGUAUUAUCAACCUGUAUAUAACAAAGAGAGUAAGUUACCGAUGGAAAAUAAGAAUAAGAGGAUUGAAGCAUCGGUUUAAAGUACUUACAACAUUGUCAGGGACUUUGUAUUUGGGGUCGAUCAUACCACGGUAUGUGAGGGCCGAUCUGCAGAACAGAUGCUCCUUCCAUUCUUCCCACCACUGUUUGUAUGCCUGAGUAAUGAAGAGGGCCGGAAUCCAAUCUGAUAGAUCGGCAUCUGUAUCGGCGUUUGGUGGCAGUUGAGCUAUUCUGGUCCAUUCGAGAAGACUAGUGAUGGUUUCCCUUGGUUUUGUCACAUCGGCAUAACAAAGUGCAAUUGGCAGUUGACCGAAAGCUAGUUGACGAGCUAAUGCUGAUGGGUUGUAGAAUUCAUAGGUCUGGUUGGAGGCUUUCCCACUGCCAAAGAAGUUUACUGGUAUAGCUCUUGGAGUGAUAAUUGCCAUCAUCACAUCAUGGUCUUUAUUAAGAGCAUCGUCGAAGGGGUGAAAGGUCAGAGGAAAUCUGGUGUCUGGAUCCUCAUAAGGCAUCCAUGCUCGCUGUUCUUUGGUCAGACCCUCAUAAAGGGUUUGAAAAAAUCGGCUGACUUGAUCUUCAUUGCCUCCAGUGUCAGGCAAGACUAUGACAGCUUCACCAUAGUUUAAAGGGGGACGAGUUGCCGAUUCUUCUUCAUCCAAUUCAUGGUCCUAUGCUAUGUCUCUGGGGAAACGCUGUGCAAAGAGGUCGAACUCCAGACGCUUGUGCAUGUGGAGGCUGAGCCACAUGUUGAUGAACCACCAAGGACCCCCUAAGUUGCUGAUGGGUUGGCCGAGCAGAAGUUUCUUAGCUAUCUAGUGGAGGAGGUGAUAAGCAGAGCCGAGCAGGUAUCGGCCGAGAGGAAAUCGGCCACCAUUAGCUAAUCUCUCUACUGCCGAUAGGUAGACAGAGGUUGGUCCUGCCGAUCGACCGCAGAAUACAAAUUUGUCUAACCACAUGUUCAGGAAGGUGGUCUGUUCCUUUAUGUUGACAAGCCCUGUUCUACGGUACUUCUGAAUAUACCCAGACCAACCGCCGAUAGAGCGAGUUUCCACCUUAGCGCUAGGUUUGGAGUCAAAUAUGUGACUAUUAUCGGCAGUGGAUACAUCUAAGCUGGUGAGCAUAAGUACAUCGGCAAGUGUGGGAGAAGCGGGGUCAUGGCCGAAAACAAAAGCAUUGAGUGUGUCUGACCAGAAAUAUGAUGCAGCAAUCAACAGCGACUCGUUCCUAUCCAUAUCGGCAAGGGACAGUCUAAUGCACUGGUCCAGUUUUCGCUCGCCCCAUUGAACCUCAUUUGAAUGGCUGACUCUCAAGAACCAAUCUUUCCAUCCCUUGGUAGGACUGGGCCAGGAACGGAAGGCAUCUUUCCAUAGAUCUAGAGAAAAAUUUUCGGCUCUAAAAGGAAUUCUGUUUGUCUCUGCGUUUAUCAGAUCGAUGGGAUCUGGGUUCCCUAGCGGGCCGAGACAUUGGAGAUGUGGUUGAUCGGUAGGGAUGACAAUCUUAUUGGACAAAUCCUAGAAGUUGUUAAGGAUAAAAAGAAGAACAAAAGAAAAAAAGGGGAUGUUCAGUAAGAUGGAUUGCGGAUGAACAGUGGUAUGGUAAAAGUACAGGAGACAGGGUGGUAAACUAACCUCAGGAACAACGAAGUUGAUGGCCAUCUCCUCGCAGGAAAGAAGAUCGAAGGCUUUGGGGUUGGUGGAGAAAGGCCUUCGUUGGAGAUCUUGGAAACCUCGAGUGGUGCCGCCGUCGUGAAAGUGGGUUUUGGGCUGUAGAAUGACAAGAUGGAGAAGGAAUACCCGAGAGGGAAGUAUUUAUAGGACAAAACGGGUAGGGGCAAAUCUGAUUUAUCUCUUUGCCGCAUCCAUGAAAUCCGAGGGUGCUCAGAUGGAUAUGGUAACUGUUCGCACGAUAAUCAAGGGAUUUGCACAGGUGAUUUGACAGCAAGCGGUCGUGAUUUUGGAAAUAUUUCACUGUGCAAGAUCUCCUGGUCGGUCCAUCUGCAGCUCCCUCUAACGGUAAUAUUGCCGAUCGGCGAAUAAAAUGGGGAUGUCUAGUUUGGGAGGUUGAGGAAUUCGAGGAAUCUGCAGAAGAAUCGGGCCAUGGUUGUUCGACUUCAACGGUCGGUUGCCAAAUUGGGAGAGUUAAUUGCGGAAAGGCGUCAUUAUUGCAGAGAAUUUCGGAGCAUUAAUGAUUUUAUACUCCGAAAUUGGAGGGCAUGUGUUGACGCCGUUUUUGGACGCGUACCCAGGGAUCGGUAAAGAAUAGAUUGGCAGAAGGAACAACAGUAACUGGUCUACAGGGAAGUUGCCGAUGAGGGUGAUUGCCGAUGAAGAGACAGCUGAAUGUGACUAAGUCCAGAAGUGGUGACACGUUCGUGCCGAUGGUCAGCGUUAGUCUUUGCCGAUGGCUAUGAUAAGAAGUCUGCCGAUGACUCGGAAAGAGAACGUGGGGGUUGCCGAUUAACCUGUGGUGGUGUCCCGGUCUGUUACGGGAGGAUAGUUUUAUGUUUUCCAUAGAUAUUUAAAUUCGUUUUGUAUACGGAUUCCGUUUAAUUUAGAGUUCGAGUCCUAGUCGUGUCUGAUUGUAGCUCUUUGAGCAGGGUAUAAAUGUAGACCCUAGGGCCUUGUAAUGAGACAUCUAUCAAUCAAUCAAACACAAGUUUUUACUCAUAUUCCAGUACCUACUUUUUCGACGACUUCGUCAUAUUUUUUUCCUUUUAUUACGAGUUCUUAGGAGUUCGUCGACUUAAGCUCGGCGUAUUCUCGAGUUCCGCGUGAAUACCUCUUGGCCGUGACAUCCUUGUCGGGACCAAAGUAUUCGAGUUAUCACCUUUGCCGAUAGUAAGGUCAAAUCGGCUGGCACGUCUUAACGUUUGAAUCGGGUAUUAGCCCUUUGUGUUUGCAGAUCAACUUUCACAGCAACGAUACUAUAAUGUCUAUUUUGCAAAAAAAUUUGAAACUAAACAAGACCUUAAUGCUACGAUCUCCUCGCUGGAGAAGUUCAAGCCUUUAUUUAUCUCCUCCAACCUUCCCCGUCUUAAAUACAUACUCUUUCUGUCUUGCAAUAUAAUGCAAUGUUAGGGCCUUGUUUAGUUCUAAAAACUUUUAUAAAAUAGAUAUUGUAGCAUUUUUAUUUUUAUUUGAUAAAUAUUAUCUAAUUAUGUACUAACUAGGCUUAAAAGAUUCGUCUUGCAAACUUAGUUAUUAUUUUUAUCUCUGUUUAGUGCUUUAUACAUGUGCCGUAAGAUUCGAUAUGAUAAUGAAUUUGAUUUUUUUAAAAUUUUUUAGAAACUAAACAAGGCCUAGAGCAUCUCCAAUAUAUACUGUUAAGGCCGUGUUUGGAUGAUUGGAACGGUUCCCAUUCUAGUUAGAAUAUGAAGAAACGCUUCCAAACGCGAAAACCGAACGUAUCUGGCCUGAAACGUUUCCAAGCGUUCUGUGCUUUUUGCCUUUAGGGAGCGAAACGGCCUCGGGCUGGCUUUGAGUGGUUCUGUUUCUAAUUUCCCGUAUGCUGUAGUGAUCAGAUUUUUUUUCUUUUUCAUGCAACAAGUAAAAAAGUGUUGCAUUUAGGUUGUUAUGUGCCCACAAAAAAAAUCAAAAAAAUGAAGUAUACUUCUAUUUAUGUUUUUUAUAAAAAACAUUUAUUUGGGAAACAGAAUAAUCCAGGCUAAUAGCCAAAUGGUUUUAUAAAGUGAUUCUGAUUCAACACAUGAGACGUUUCUUAAGAGGAACUGAAUUAUUUCUAUAAAAAUCUGGAUCACAUCAAAUGAACACAAAUAUAGGAUGUAAAGAGCAUCUCCAAUAGUUUAAAAAAACAAUGGGUAAAUCAAAUGAUUUUUUGAAGCCACUAGAAAAAGGGAAAUUUUUUGUUUUCUCCAAUCAUUUUUAAUAUCUCGAUCAUGAAAGAUAUAAGGUAGAAUACUCAUUUAGGUUUCUCUACUAUCGUCUAGGGCUUGAUUUCAUCCUUAAACCUUUUAAAUUGGUAUUUUAAUCCUUGAAAUUUUCUUUCCGACUCAGUUUCAUCCUAAAACUAUCAAAUUGACCAUUUGAUUACUUAAACUCUAUAUUUUAGGUUAAAUUUCACCCAUAACUAUCAUAGUGUAUUUUAGUCCUUAAACUUUUCCUUUUCGGCUUAAAUUUGUCUAUUGCCCCAUGUGGAACGCUGUGUCAUCACGCCAGGUUAGCACCAGCACUUAUACUCGUGUUUUGAGAUGGGCAAUCAUGGUUAGCUACCACUGUUUGUGGCAUCGUCCUAACUAUGGAAUUAGAUACAUACUUUCAACAUUUAUAUCUUUAUUUUUAAAAUGAAUAUAAAUACUUUCAACAUCUUUAAAAUGAAUCUUCAAAUAUGAAUUAAUUUUUAGCUUAUGCUCCAAACAGAUCAUUUUUGUCCUCUAAAUACUUUUAAACCAACCACUAAUGAUGUUUUUAUUUUAAUACUAUUUUUCUGUCACCAACCACCAGUGCUAUUGGAGCUGGCUAGGUUGUGCGACGUUCCAUGUAGGAUGAGGGAAGAAGUUGAGCGAAAAAGAAAAAGUUUGAGGAUUCAAAUGAAUUUUGAUACUUUUCGGAUAAGAUUGAGACUAAAAUGCAAUAUUUGAGGAUUCAAACGUCUACUUGAUAACUCUAGGAUCCCAAAAAUAAAAUUGGAGAACUGAAAUGACCAUUUUGAAAGUUCAGAGGUGAAAUAAGCUUUGGACAAUAGUUAAGGGAUCAAAAGACUAUUCCGCUAAGAUAAAAUGUCAUUUUGCCUCAGGAAUAUCUCUAAAUCACCCUAUAUACUUUUAUACUUUCUCUCUCUCUCUUGUAAAUUUACAUUGGAUUCCUAUGCUUUCUCCUUAUUCUUCGACACAUCCUUCCCCCUCAAGAUUGCUCGAUUGGAUAUGUACGCAUUUCUCGUGAUUGGAUUGAUUUUUCCGCACACUGAUUCAGAUUUGAGAUAAGGGGUUAUUAAGAGAGGUAUUUUUUUAAUCUUGCAAACAAAAUCAAGAUUAUUAAUUUGCAUUCUUGAAAUUUGCUAAAAAUCUUAAAAAUUGCUCUCCAACAGUUUUACAUUUGACUUAUGCAUUUUAGCAAACUUGACAUUUGAUGGACCAAACUUGGCAUUUUUGCAUAGGCACAAUGGCUUGGCAAUUUUGAUAUCCCGAGAAUCUUGGACUCCUUGUCGUGCCCGUACUCCCCACGUCGCGGUAGUUUCCCGCGAGACGACUUCUCCCCGCGCGCGACUCUUUUCUUUCCCCCGCGCAUCGCCUCCUUUCUUCGCGCGCCUCUUUUCUUCGCGCGGAGACGAAGGAGAUCCAUCGCCGCCUCCUUUUCUUGCAGCGACGCAAGCUUACCUCGAGCAGAUGUUGCCGGCCUGGAUCAAGCAGCGGCCUCUUUUGGCGACCUCGAAACCCUCCUUGCGGAAGCCUUAGGACCUGGAUGCCGCGGUGGUACCUGGGACUGUUGCCUCGAUCGGAUCUCAACGACCUGGACCAAGCGGCGACGUGGACGUGCGGGAUGAACACGGUCGCGCGACGCACGAGAAUUGGCGGCGACGGGCGAAGGAAUUGCGCGUAAAAAAGAAAGCGCCCGCGCGACGCGCGAGAGAAUUUCCCGCGAAGAUGAAAGAUUCCCGGACAAAAAUAGUUAGGUCCACUAUUUUGAGAAAUGCCAAGUCAAAAAUGCCAAACACUUGGAGAUAAACUUAUUUUUCCUUUGGCAAAACGUUUAGGGACUUGGCAAAUUCCAGCAAAUGAUAAAUUUCAAUUGCAUAACUGUUGGAGAUGCUCUUAAAUAGGAAGAAUGUUGGAUUGGAACUUUGGAGGGUGAUGUUUGUUGCAUACGUCAAACCUUAAUUUUGACUCUAAAAGAUUAGAAUGGAAGGGAUGCUUAAAGGUAUCCAAAAUGGGAAUACAAAAAAGUAAAGUUAAGUUAUUUCAAGGACCAAGGAAUAGAAUGGCAAGCCUUUAUAAAAAGAAAGGUGAAUAUAAAAAGCAGUAUAGAAAACAGAACCAAAAUAAAUUAUAAAGCAGUGCAAAAAAGAGAGGAGAAAACGAAUUAGAAUAAGUAAAAGAGAAGAAUCCCAAGUACACAUUUUAGCUGCUGCCUGCACACCGCAUCGCAGAGGCGAGAGAGAGAGGAGAGAGAGAGAGAGAGGGCGCGCGCUGCGGCGGCGGCGGCACAGCAGGGGAAGCAUCAGACGCCGCAGAACCGCAGUAGAAGAGGAGGGAGACCAGGCCACCUAUAUCUAGCUCUCUCUUUCUAUCCAUCUUCUCUCUAUAUAUGCAGUUAUAAUAUUUGGCCAAUUAGGCAGAGAUUAGAGAGGGACUGGGGAGGGAAAUUUUGUACAGGGAAGAGAGAGAGAGAGGGUAGUUGAUGGGAAGGGUUUGAUGUGAUUGCGCUUUCUUUUCUCUUUGCUUCCUGGAUCCAACCGCCGCCGCCGCGUCCUCUCGUCGUUGUUUCCGUGUUCUUGGAUCGGAUGCCUUCAUCUGCCUAGGUACGUGCGCCGUUCCUUGCGUCGAGGGAUUCAUUUCUCGGAUGGGUUCGGGGUUGAUGGGUUCGUCGUGAGGGGCUUAUCAGAUCUCAGCUCCUUGAUCUGUUCUUCUUCCCGAUUUCUCGCUCAAUUCCUUUACCUCCUCCUGUUUUCUGCCCGCAGAUCGGAGCAAGAGCAAGGCGCGCGGUGUAAAUCCCGAGAGGAGGAAGAAGAGGAGGAGAGGGGAUCGAGGCCGCUCCGUCCCGUCUUGCUUGUUCUUGCCGCGUACGGUUCUUUCAAGAACCCGCGGCGGGGAUGGAUCUCUACGACAAGAGGGAGGACAUGGCGUUGCAAGACGGGGACUACUGCCUUGCGCCCCGGGCUUCGCGGGGCGGAUGCGAGGUGGACUUACAGUGGGCGGAUGGCCUCGUCGAAGGCGCCGGGCGGAAGCGGUGCGCCCUGGAAGACUUCGAGGACGAGGUCCAGGAAAUGGACGAGGUGGAUGGCGGUGGCAAGCGCAGCAAGCCGCCGUCGCCGCAACCGCACACACCAGAUAUUCGUGAAGCCCAUGCCCCCAGCCGCCGCCGCCGCACCGUGGUGGCCGGUGGUGGGGAGCACAGCGGUGGUGGGGGUGACCUCAUAGGAGAAAUCGGCCGGGACCUGUCCAUCAACUGCCUCCUCCGGCUGUCUCGGUCAGAGUAUGGCUCAGUGGCUUCGCUGAAUCAUGAUUUCCGGUCUCUGGUUCGAGGAGGGGAGAUCUACAGGCUGCGACGGCAGAAUAACAUUGCCGAGCAUUGGGUGUACUUCUCCUGUAAUGUUUUGGAGUGGGAUGCCUAUGACCCCUACCGCAAGCGUUGGAUCUCGGUGCCCAAGAUGCCGCCUGAUGAGUGCUUCAUGUGCUCGGAUAAGGAGUCUUUGGCUGUGGGCACCGAGUUACUUGUGUUUGGGAUGGCACACAUUGUCUUCAGAUACAGUGUGCUGACAAACUCUUGGACACGAGGCGAGGUGAUGAAUUCUCCUCGCUGUCUAUUUGGGUCAGCAAGCGUGGGGGAGAAGGCAUACGUUGCUGGUGGCACUGAUUCUUUUGGCAGGAUCCUCAGCUCAGCAGAGCUGUACAACUCCGAGACGCAUACUUGGACACCUCUUCCUAGCAUGAAUAAGGCACGGAAAAAUUGCUCUGGGUUUUUCAUGGAUGGCAAGUUUUAUGUGAUUGGCGGUGUGACAAACAACAACAUGAUCUUGACCUGCGGUGAAGUGUAUGAUACGCAGAGCAAGACUUGGAGUGUGAUUGAGAACAUGUCUGGGGGUUUAAAUGGAGUGAGCGGUGCACCCCCACUUGUUGCAGUGGUCAAGAACCAGCUGUAUGCUGCUGAUUACAGCGAGAAGGAUGUGAAGAAGUAUGACAAGCAGAAUAAUAGAUGGAUCACACUUGGUAAAUUGCCCGAGCGAUCUGUGUCCAUGAAUGGAUGGGGCCUUGCAUUCAGGGCAUGUGGUGAGAGGCUUAUUGUAAUUGGUGGCCCAAGAACACCAGUUGGGGGCAUGAUUGAGCUAACCUCUUGGAUUCCUGAUGACAAGCCACCUGUGUGGAAUUUGAUGGACAGACGGCCAUCAGGAAAUUUUGUGUAUAAUUGCGCUGUGAUGGGCUGCUGAGUUCACUUCAUCAAGAGUCUGCACAGUGAUGUUUACAAAGAGAGGUAUGCACAAAGGCAGGCCUGUUUAGCUUCAGCACUCCUUCAUGAGUUUCUGCCUUUGACCUGUAGCUGAUGUAGUUGGCAUCAGCAGAGCAGCAGCAGGAUCUUGUAACCCUUGAGUUCAUACAUCAGUUUCCGCCCCAGCUAAUCCAUUUCUUUCAUUUACAUUUGGAUCAGUCUUAUGAUCUAGAAGAUGAUACCAUGCAAAAGAUGUCAUACCAAUAAUCUAGAAACAUUAAAUUUCAGAGGCCUUCCAUCAUUGAUGAUGACAGCAAGUUUUCAUAUUCCCUUGUCUAUGUCUGCAACAAAAGUAGUGACCAUCUUGUUAUUAGCAUAUUUCUAAUUUUUGAGUUAUCAUAUAUGUUACACAUUGAUGCCUUCUUUAUGCAUUUAUUUGCCUGAAUGACCUUGGGAUGGGUUCCUGUUAAACUGUUUGAGUGGAGCAUGAUUAAAAAUUGGACUCCUGUUUGGAGUUUGGACCAUUAUCGUUUUCCCUUAAAAUUAGAUCAGAUAAACCUCUGGAAAGUUAUCCUAUGGCACACAUGCAGGUAUUGAAUGCAUUUAUUUGAUUUGAUUCAUUAAAUUAUGGUGGAAUAUUUUACUUUACCUUAUCUGCUAUGAGAUCCUGUGCUUCUCAUGCACUGGAUUGCUGUAUCUGAACUUUGCAUACUUAUGGUUGUUUUGGUGGAAACAACUAAAAAAAUGUGAAUCUGUUGAUGUUUGUUAUGGAUUGAUUUGGUUAUUUGAAAAACAUCAAUCUGUUGAUGUUGCUUAUGGAUGAUUUUGGUUGUUAUUUGUCUUGUAGGUUCAUUAUAAAUGUUUCGUUUUAUAUGGUGAAUAACCUAAGUAUCAUUUUGAUGUCAAGGUUUUGAGUGAUGGUGAUACGAAAAAUGAGAUGUGGGUUCCUUUCUGUAUUAUGAAUAUGAAAUAUAUCCUUGUAAUCACAGCCUUAAUUAUUACUAUUGAUGCCAACUACUCCCUCCAUCCCCCAAAAAACUUGAUGUUCUAGCUCUUAGAAGAUAGAUUGGGCUCUUAUCUGCUUAAGAUUACGGUCUGCAUGCCUCCAUGCAUUCCUUUGAACGAGGGGUUUAUUCCUUAAUUAGCAUGGUUAAUCUUUAUAAAUAGGUGUAGUGGCAAUUUCCAUUGAGCACUAAUCUGUCCUAAAAAACCUAAAAUAUCUAAGUUUUUUGGGACGGAGGGAGUUAUAAUUUUGCAGAAUCAGAUCGUCAUUAUUGAAAGCCUUAACUUCACAUGAUUGUUACACUUUCCUUUUCAAUAGCCACAUAUGCAUGACAUGUUUUUCUGUGUAGUCACUUUUAUUAUGUCUUUGUGGCCUCUUUUAGUGUUAUUCAAGGUGAGGCAUAAUGUUUAUUUGAUAACUGCUCUUUUACACCUUGCAGAAGCUGAUGUUCAUGAACUGAAUACAAACAAAAAUGUUUCAUCACACUUAAACCAGUGAUUAUUGUGACUGCAAGGUUUUUUUUGGACAAGUACCUCGUUGGGACUUGGGACUGUUCAUUGUCUAAUACCUUAGGAAGAAAAAAUUGGCUGAUGAAUUCAAAAUGAAACAUGGAUUACUUGUGGGUGUCAUUUAAAAAAAAAAAUUUAAUGGACUUGUAUGAUUCACUUUUCCUUUGUGAUAUGUGAAUAUAUGAUACCUAAGUUUGGAGGGCGAAUAUGGAGAUAGAAGUGUUACAUGCAUUGUUAACCACUUGGGAAUCAUUCAUUAUUUACUAAUAUGAGCCAAUAAUAAUGGUCUGGUAGCUUUGCGUUGCUAAAAUAUCCAAACUGUUGAAACUUUUUGUAUUCCUCAGUGCCACUAUGCAUAGCUUACCUACAAAGCUACAUCGGUAUUACAUUGUGACUUAUCAGGAUUUAUUAUGUUAACUAUUGACCAAUUGGUUUGAUUAAACCUUUUGUUUUCUAAGAAAAUUGUGUUAAUGUACAUGGCUGAGGCUGUUCCUGAUCAAACAUUUCCUAAGCUUGAUAUAUACUAGUAAAUUUGUAAGCUUAUAGUUUAGGAUAUUAGCAUAGUAUAGAUUGUGUUUAGGGUUAUCCUUUGGGACACCAUUUUAAUGAGUAGAUUGGUUAUUGUAUGACAAGUCUUAUAUUAUAGAAUAGUUAAUUAAUUUUGAACUGGCAACUAGUGUUGUUAGAUGUCAACCUCUUAAAGUAAUGCAGGAUAUAUAACAAGUUUAGUAUCUUGCACAAUUAGGAAAGUAAUGCUUAAGAAAAGAAAAGGGCACUAGAUUAACAUCGCAAUCUGAAUUUCAAAGGAUUUUGAUUCCUUGUUCUUGAUGGAAUUCUGACUGGUUUGAGAUGCCCACCUUUUUGUUUGACAAAACAAACUUGUAUACUUGGAUCUGUUGUUGGAGUCUGACUUGAGUACUGCAAAUAAUUUCCAUGGGUUUCCUGGGCAGCACAUGGUUGUUGAACCUGGUAGAAUCAGGUGCUGUUCCAUCAGUGGUUGUUUGACUAGAGAUUUCCUCUGUUUUUCCAGAAUGAAACAGUGAACUGUUGCAGCUUUUUCGCUUUUGUUACCCGUUUGUCCUGUGGGAUGGAAAUACUUUCUGAUGGAGGAUUGUAUGCCAGUUGUGCUUGUAUGCAUUGUUCUUGCGUGUGGCUUAAGGUUCUCGACUCUUGAGUCUUUGAGGUUAUCCAUUCUCUUUCAACAUAUGUAGUGCCUGCCUGAGCUACUGCUUUUGCUCUUUGCAACAUGUGACAGAUCGCAUUUUAUGGAAUCAUGUCUUUACUAUUUUGAGAUGAAUUUCAAUCUUGUGCAUAGUCGGUUACUGGAACAGCAAAGAAGGUAAAUUCAAGGUGAACUGUUUAAUGGAGCUAUAUGACUAUGAAGUGUCAACUGCAUUCUUCAUCUUGUGUAUCUCAGAUAGUUUGCUUCUGUCAGAUCUUGCUCUUCCAGUUUCUAUUACACUUGAUUCUGGAAUGAAAAUUUUACAUCUCUGCAGCAGCUAAUCAUUUUCUGAACUUCUACAGUUUUACGGGGUAGUGUGAACUGCUUUUUUUCUUUUCUUUUGUGGGAAUCUUAUCAUGGCCCAUAAGCACUCGAUUGUCGCAAAUAUAUGGCAUAUUUUUAUUUCACUAGCGCAGGAAUAUCUUAGUGGAGAGUUUCAUUGAAGAUAGAUUAAAAAGCGGUGUCUGGUGGAAUAUCAGGAUUGAAAUGUGUGUGAAAGGCAACGUUGGAUGGUCUGGUCUGGAAAAGUUGUUUUUGCGCUCUUGUUGCAGUGGCGUGGAGAAGAGACGCACGUAAUGGCUACUGUUUCUGGUUUUUGGUUUCUCAUCGUCAGCGUGACCAUCUUUUUUGACUUAUGUUUUUCUCAGCCAGUUUUUGAACUUCCGCCUUCGUCGGCGCAGCGCCGCAGCCCUAUCCGUACACAGAGAGAAAAACUGAACCUAUACGUAUCACGACGAUGUCAGGUUUGUUUGGCUGCGUAUCAUUCCAUCCCAAUUCAUAAGCCUAUUCGCUUGAGCUUAUCAGCUGAAUCUGUCAUUCAUUCAACAGUGUUUUUCUCUCACAACAAAUCAACAAACCAAUACUUUCUAUCAUAACUUAUCAAUGAACAAUUAGUUAAUUUUCCAUCCUAAUACUUCUCAACCAAUAAUAUAGAUUAAGGUCCAUUGAUACACAGCCCAGCAGUAGUGUAGUUUUGCUUUCAUGUAAGUUUUUUUUCCCCAUUUGCAAUUCUUAAUUUUUCAUGGUCCAGCUCAACGUGUUACUAAGAUGUGAAUUAGACAACUUAAAAAUUAAUGUUCUCUAAAAUCUAUCAAAAUCUAUGCAAGAUGCUAUUUAGAUGUGCAUUAUGGUUUUGCUAAAUAUUGCUAUCUUUACUCUGAAAAGUUAUGCAACCUAGAUUCAGGAAUCCUAUUAUAACUAGUCUAACAAGCUAAAAGCCUAAAAUAGAAAAAGUAAGCACACAACUAAAAAAAUUAGCAAAGUAAUUAAGUGCGGAAAUAUAAAAGUGGUGAAGAAUGCAAACCCUAUUGACAAUCGAUUUAAGUAUCAAAAAGUUUAUACUUCUCCUAGACCUGUUAGAUCCUUUCACAAGUUGCCCUCGCUAGGGUCCCUCAAUGUCUGGGUGACUUCGUAGAUCCCACUCGUCUUCUCCACGUGCAAUUGGGCUCCGUGUGGCCUUGUUUCGAAUUGCUGCUCACGGUUUUCACUAUUGAAUUUCAGCUCAAACGUCACGAGUCUCGUUUCCUCUAGUCUAGAUUCCUUUCCUAUUAACUAACCUAGGAAACUAAACUAGAAAAAAAAUAAUCACACAACCUAGGAUAAAAACAUAAGAGGUAGAGAAUGCAAACUCCCGUUAAUUGUCGAUUUAGAUAUCGAGAAGGUCGAUUUAGAUACUGAGAAGUUCACGCUUUCCUAGUCCUCAUUGAAGCCUCCAAGAUGCUAUUUAGAUGUGCACUAGAGUUUUGCUAAGUAUUGCUAUCUUUAUUGCAAAAAAGUUAUGCAAACUAAAUUCCAACCUAUCAACUAGUCUAACAAGCUAAACUAGAAAAAUGUAAGCACAUAAAUUAGAAAAAUCUAGCAAAGUAAUUAAAUGCGGAAAUGUAAAAGAGGUAGCCCUCGUAAGGGCAAAGCUAACUUUGUAGAGCUCACAGCCUUCUCCACAGGCAAGCAGAUCUCCAUAUGACCUUCUCUCGAGCUGCUACUCGCGGUCUAUACUAUCGAGCUUUCGGCUCAAAGGCUACGGGUCUUGUUCUUUCUGGUACAAGCUAGGCCGCUACACCACAUUCAGGUUGGCAUGAUCUUGUAAGAUACAAAUAACAACACUUGUUGAUGUUUUGGCAUUUUGACCGUAUCUUUUUGUUGUGGACUCUGAUUUUGCUGGCAGGUUUUGCAAUGAUGCCAAAGCGCCUAAUAAUUUUUCUCUAGUAUCCUGCCAAUCCAAGAAACCACCUAACUGGGAGUAGGCCUGAUUAGCUUGAUUUUUGCUUGGGUCUGUAGAAACACCAGAGGCCCAGAGCCAGUAAUGAUGUGUACCAGAUAAGUUAUAGAUUGCUGAGCAAACUUACAAGUGGUAAAUUUUCUCUCCCUUAAGUACGAACUAAUAAUGCCACAUUAGGCCAGAUACAGGCAGGUUGGGCUUUCGGGUCGGCCCGAGCGAACAGGCCUGCUUGAGCUUCUGGAGACGUUUGUGUCAUUGUCCAACGGUGAAUAGUGGUAACACAGAAUCAAGGCACACCAUCGGCUGCCUUGCCGGGACGGACCCGGUGUUGGGGCCUGAUGGGGAUGCACUAUAACGUGUGGUUGUCGUCUGAACCAUCAGUCUUUUGAGCAACAAAGCUAGUUCUAAUGUUGCUCAACCCAGCAUGUCGAGAAACUUCAGCCUCAAUGUCAUGACCUUCAUUCAUUUGCAUGCUUCAGCUCAACAACCAGUCUACAGUGCUUGCAUACAGUAGCGAGCACACAAAUAUGUCUGAUAUACGAGCCUAUUCCUGAACAAUCAACAGUGUAUCGAACCACGCCCAUCAGUGGAUCACAAAGCCACUCAGGGGUCAGGGGUUCGACCAACCCUGAUCUAUGACACAAUCUAUUCGUCACAAAUCAAUGAUUCGGUAGAUGGUAAUGUUCUCCUCAAUUUGACCAGAUUCCUUCAGAUUAUUACAAUUAUAGUUUCAUUUACGGGACAACAAAUGCGAGUAGAAGCCAUUAAGUACAAACUUAGCAGUACGAGCUGCCAUCUGUUAUCGUAUUUAGCUGGCAACCUCAAUUGGUUCAGAUCCCUUGUCAAUGGAAGCUUUCACGGCAUCCAGAACCACCUGCGUCUUCCGGGUGAUAGCCGGCCACUUACGCUCAGGCCUGCCCCCGGAGUCCCGGAUGUUCUGCACAAGCCUUGUGAAUUCCUGGACCAUGAGCGCCUCCUGUGGCAGAUCUGUAGUAACAACAUGCUUCCUUGGCAAUGGAUCCCAUCCGAUGGUGGGUUUGACAAAGUUUGACUUUGAGGCCACACUGAACUCCGCAGAAUUUUCUUCAUACGGAAUGACCAAGUCAGUGACAUGGAGAGUACCGUUUGUGCCAUAUAAGGUGACGUCAAAAGCGAGGUUAGUAAGAAAUGAGCAGUUGAAAUUUGCAGUCUUGCCAUCUGCCCAGUACAAUGUCGCACCACAAGCAAGAAGCACGCCAGCUUGGUUCUUGACAGGAUGACGGUGAGCGAUCACGGUCUCGGGCAUCUCAUAGUCAACAGCCCACAAGAUUGAACGGAUGCAGUACCAUCCAACAUCACCGAGAACACCCAAGGCAUCAAGGUCUGGCUUUACCCUGAUGUCAUUCUUGAGGAAUUCUUCGGAUGCCCGAAAGCUGCACAUACUGUUUAUCUGCAGUGGAGAAAGAAAAGGCAGGGUCUUUAUUAGCCUAUAAAAUUCUGCAAAUACUCCAUAUGAAAUGGAAACAAACAUUGCAUCACUCUUUAGUACAUUAUUAAGGCUACGAAGAACAUGUUAACCUACAGCAUUUCAAAUGCACUUUCCAAAUCACAUACUACAAUACUAGUAUGUGCAGAACCAACAAUGUCUAUGCUUGUUUUUAAUGGUUCUGUGAAAAUUUUCCAUGUGGAAAAAAAAACAAGAAUCACAUUGAUGUUACCAUUUUUCAAGGCUCAAAUUAAGCUGGAAUGAUAUAGCCAAACUGUAUCCAUCAAUUUACACAUUACAAAAUCAGAUCAAGUGAAAUCAUGCAGUUGAAACAUGGUGAAAAAAGUUCAAACUGGUUAAGCUACAACAGAACAAAAUAUCUUCCAGAGUUUCAAUGCUUCAUUAUGAAUGGUGGUGAUUCAUUGUGUUAAGAACAAUGGUGGUUCAUUGUGUUAAAAAAAAGAAUGUUUGUUCAAUGAGAAAACUUUCAACCUCAACAAAGCUUGAAUAUUUCCAUUUCUGUCAAUAUAUCAUAGGCAUCCAAACCCAAGACUGCAGUGACACAGAAGCCCCAAGCACACACCUUCAGACAGUCUUACCUCUGUUCCUACGACUUCUGAUAGAUCUCAGCCAUCAAUAGACAGAAUUAAGGCAAUAUGAUAAUUUUAGUUGAUAAGCAAGCACCAUCAGUCAUCAAGAUGGGGAGAAGAGUCUAGCUUCAUUUUUUCUUCCUCUCGAAAUCCAUUUUUGGUCUUUCAUACUGGUAUAAUAAAUAAAUAAGAAAAAGGAUCAAAUUUUGUUUCUUUUCUAGUACAAGAAAUCUAUUUGUAGACAUUUGUUGCCAUACUGGCGCUAGACAUUAGGCAUUUCCAGAUUCCACCGAACUUUAGCAACUAAUAAGAAGCCAUUCCAAGAUCUCACCACUCUGACGUCACCGAAGGCAUCCUUGUCGCUGACGAUCUCCCGCAUCUUGGCGGUGCGCGGGUUGUGGAUCCACAUGGUGGUGUCCAUGAACUGGAUCCCGGAGGCGUCGCAGGCGGCGAGGAUGGCGUCGAGCUCGGCGGCGCAGAGCGCGGUGGGCUUCUCGAGGAGCAGGUGCUUGUCACGCGCGGCGACGGCUGUGGCCCAGGGCACGUGGAGACUGGUGGGGAGCGGGAGGUACACGGCCUCCACGUCCGGGUCCCCUAGGAGAGACUCGUAGGAGCCGUGGACGCGCGCCGCGGGGAAGCCGAUUUCGGUGACGAAGCGGCGGGCCUUGUCCUCGGAGCGACUGCCUACGGCGGCGACGGUAGCGGCGCCCGCAGGGAGCAUCCGCAUUGCACGCGAGAUCUUGCGCGCGAUGUCAGCGCAGCCCAGGAUGCCGAAGCGCACCGGGCGCGGUGGCGGCGGCUGCACUGGCGCUGCAGAGGACGACAUUGGCGGUCGCUGCGCGGCGGCGUUGGUUGGUCUCGGUUCGGUGUGUGGAGUGAUCGUCUGUGUCUUUCGGGUUCAGGAUAAUCAGGACAGCUUGGGUUCCCUGGCUCAUAGGACACUUGUCUUUCGUCUGUGUCUUUUGGCUAGUUCUUGGACCUGGCUGCGGAGAGAUGCAAAACUCAUCGUCUGGAACGAAAUCGAAAUCCGUUUUCUACUUUUCUGGUCAAUCUAAUCAGGACCUCAAGCAUGCUACCUCUGUUUUGACGAGUGAUCUCAGUUCUUGACUGCAAAGUCAUCCGCGGAUCGUAUUGUUUCUGGAACAAACAUUACUCGGUCAGUCGGUCGGUUCUGGCAUUAGAGUUGCAGCAAACCUGCCUUCCAUCGUCAUCACUGACAUGGCAUGCUGGAAAUGUUGCACAACCUGAACUUGUCCAGGAUGUUCAUGACCGAGAACAUCACAACGGACGCCUUCAAUAUUGGUUUUUUAAUCUCAGAACUUCCCACUGAUUGUCCUCCUUUGGCCGGGCAACCAUCGAUGGAUUAGUUGAUGCUUUAGUCUGCCCAUAUACUAGUAGAAGUCUAGAACAACCAGUAGAAAUAUAAUCCGACUUAUAUAUUUCAACCUCCUUCUGAGUUUGACGACACCUCUUCAAAUAGUUACAAAUAAUGGUUUAUACUGGUUUCAUACGAUACAGAAGUACAGUAUGUGUAAAUAUAUCAAUCAAGCACAAACCAUGCCAUGGUGUAGAAACCUCUAGUCAGGAAGUGACUCGUUUGUUGCAUUUAGCUAGCCACCUCAACUGGCUCAGACCCUUUGUCAAUCGAGGCUUUCACAGCAUCCAAAACCAGCUGCGUCUUCCGGGUGAUAGCCGGCCACUUCCUCUCAGGCUUGCUCCCAGCAUCCCGGAUGCCCUGCACGAGCCUCGCGAAUUCCUGGACCAUAAGGGCUUCCUGUGGCAGGUCUGUCGCCACGACGUGCUUGCUUGGCAGAUCCCACCCGAUGUCGAGCUCAGCAAAGCUUGACUUUGAAGCCACGUGGAACUCCGCCGACUUUUCUUGGUGUGGGAUGACGAAGUCAGUGACAUGGAUAGUUCCAUUCGUGCCAACUAAGGUGAUGUCCAUGGUGACAUUGGUGAGGAAAGAGCAGCUGAAGGUGGCAGUCUUGCCAUCUGCCCAGUGCAAUGUCGCGCCGCACGCAAGAAGCACGCCAGCUCGGUUCUUUACAGGGUCACGCAGUGCGAUCACAAUCUUGGGCAACUCAUAGUCAACAGCCCACAGGAUCGCACGGAUGCAGUACCACCCAACAUCACCAAGUGCACCCAGGGCAUCAAGAUCUGGCUUUACUCUGAUGUCAUUCUCGAGGAAAUCUUCAUUUGCUUGAAAGCUGAACACACUGUUAAUCUGUGGAAAAAGAACAAAAAAACUGAUGAUUUUGUUGACCUACAAAGCUUUGUAGAACAGUAGAGAUAAAGUGGAAUCAAACAGUUACAAAUGUAUUCUUCCACAAAUAUGUAAAAUACCACUAUACGUUAACCUAUAUAUAGCUUUUCAUACAUGUCUUGCAAUUCAGAUUUAACGUGUGCAACUGCUAAGAGGUGUAAUGGCUGCAGCCAACCAUUUCACCGUCUACUUCUAUUUUUCACAAAUUUGUGCAUAUGCAUAAAUGAAAAAUGACAUGGAUGUAACAUCCUAUUAUUUUGUACAUAGCUAGAAUAAAAGAACCAAACUCGAUGGAUUGGAACUGAUAAUUUGGAUGCGCUAAAAUUUUAUAGGAACUAAAUAUGGUGUUUAACUUUCACAAUUUAAAUCUUUCAGAGCACUCUACCGUCAUCUCAGUUUAUAGAUAGAUUGGAAGUGGUCUGCUGAGAAAGAAUUCAAGCUCAACUCAGCUUCAACACUUCCAGCAAUGUUAAUUUUGAAAACCUUAGAACUUUAUAAAACUAAAACACAGCAUUUAUAUAAAUAUAUGUUAAUCUUUGUACGUGUGAUGCAUCAUCUUUGACGAAUUGUAUAUCCUAGAAGGUUGGCACAUAAAAAGGGCGAAUGUCCACUGGAUGACUACAUUGCUCAGUCAGAGAACCUAUAAAACAAAAGCAUUAGGUCCAUUUGCCAGAGAAUAAAGAAGGGUGGUGAACCACCAUGUGGUUAUUGUGCCUGUGCGUCCAUGUAUGUAAAUAAAAUUGUGCAUCCUUGGUUAGAUCUUUACUAGGAAGACAGCUUUUAAAGAUUUUUUGGGAAGUUCUAUAUCCCAAAUAAGAUGGUUAUUCUAACUGCCAUGGCAUCAACAAGAUAUUGUAGUGCUAGUUGGAAGAACUGGUCUGCCAACUUGGUCAAUAGCAGCUUAUGAUUGUAUCCAUACCUUGGAGACAAGAACAAACUAACAAAGUUUAAAUUUAAAUAGGAUAGUAGUUCCACGUUGCUAGAUACAAAAUGACACCAUUCCUUCGCUGUACCCAGCAUGACAAGGAGACAGUGAAAGGUACCUGAGAUAUUUUUCUUAAUAGCUCUAUCACCAAUUUUCUUUGUCCAGCCCAUGCCAAUUAAUCAUGGUUCUGUUGUUGGUUUGUAGCAGAACCCAGGGGGGGGGGGGGUUGGGACUGCUCCACAAACUUUACCAUGGAGCUGUAAAAAAACUGGAGUUUGUGGAGCACCUCUUCACAUUUUUUCCUCGAAUAGAGUGCAUGGAGCUGAAACCAUUUGGCUAAAAAACGUGGAGUGGAGCUGAAAAACGUGGAACGGAGUAUUCCCAAACACCACCUUAGAUACCAUCUCAUCCUAUAAAGCGCACAUGUAAAGUGUUCUUUAUUCUAUAUAAUCUCUCCUGUCAUCUAUGCAAGAGAUAGAUAGAGGCUCACAUAGAGGUGCAUCUUUCAUUCAUUGGAGCAGACAAGAGCCUAGCUCUUCUCCUCACACUAACUCAGAAGGUUUUUUGGCCACUCUCUCUUCCAUGUGGAACCGAAUGCUAGUACAAAUGUGGGAAGAGUACUCUCUCAAUAUUGUGCUGGCCAAUGGGUUCAGCUCAGAAGUUAAGUUAAACACAGCAAUCACGGCACACAUGGCUAUUCCAAAUGCUCCUAGCCUUUUUUAUGCUACACUUGCUCCAAUUAGUAUAAGGCCUUGUUUAGUUCCGAAAAAUUUUGUAAAAUCGACACUGUAGCACUUUCGUUUGUAUUUGACAAAUAUUGUCCAAUCAUGGACUAACUAGGUUCAAAAGAUUCGUUUCGUCGAUUUCGACCAAACUGUGCAAUUAGUUUUUAUUUUCGUCUAUAUUUAAUACUUCAUGCAUGCGUUUAAAGAUUCGAUGUGACGGGAAAUGUGAAAAAUUUUGCAAAAUUUUCUGGGAACUAAACAAGGCCUAAAUAAAGUUUUCGCUUUUGACUGUCAGUAUCUAAAUAAAGUUAUCACAUUUCACGAGCAUACAAAUUAAUGCUGCUGGACCGUUGAGCAUUAACAACUGGGAAAGAAAAAGAAUACUGUCUUUUCCUGUAGAACUUCAGUUAUUGAUAGUAUUCUUACAUACUGAUUCUUUUCCUGUAGAAAAACGAAUUCCAUUUCUUGGUUACGGGUAACAAAGGUUGCGUAUUUCCAAUUCUAAUCCCCAUUCCAGUCUUGCAGGAAGGUUUGCAAAUAACUCACCGUUCUGAUGUCCCCAAUGGUGUCCUUGUCGUCGACGGUCUCCCGCAUCUUGGCCGUGCGCGGGUGGUGCAUCCACAUGGUGCAGUCCAUGAACUGGACCCCCGCGGCGUCGCAGGCGGUGAGGAUGGCGUCGAUGUCGGCGGCGCACAGCGCGGUGGGCUUCUCUAAGAGCACGUGCUUGCCCCUUGCGGCGGCGGCGGUGGCCCAGCGCACGUGGAGGCUGGUGGGGAGCGGGAGGUAGACGGCGUCCACGUCCGGGUCGUCGAGGAGCGCCUCGUAGGAGCCGUGGAGUCGGGUGGCGGCGCCGUCGAGGGUGUUGUCGGCGACGAAGAGGCGGGCCUUCUCCUCGGAGCGGCUCCCGACGGCAGCGAUGGUGGCGGCGCCUGGAGGGAGCAUCGAAAUCGCGCGCGAGAUCUUACGCGCGAUGUCAGCGCAGCCCAGGAUGCCGAAGCGCACGGGGCGCGGCCGCUGGUCUGGCGCCGCGGCGGACGACAUGGGCGGCGGCCAGGUGCUCUUUCGCGUGGGAUUUGGUUGGCGGCUUGGCGCGUCUAGGCUCUCUGCCUCUAUCCGUGCGGUCGUUUGGGUCGUUCGUGGUGUUUACCGUGUGGGGAUAUUUAACUUUUUGUCACUUUUAUGCUUGACACGAGCUCAUUUCCCAGUGGUUGGCACGAGCUCAUUUCCCAGUGUUGUAUGUGAUUCUAAUUUUUUGCCAUCCAAAUGAUCAAAAGUUUUUAUUGUUUAGACAUUUUGGCUUCAGGAGUUUGCCAGCGUGGCGGGAGCACACAAAAAGACCUCGCUGCCCCUCUCCUUAUCCUUUAACCUAUCUGCUCCUUCCUCGUAUCCCCCAGCCGCCCCCAUUCUUCUUCUUCUUCCCCCCGCCAAGCUUACCCUGCAUCGUCUUCACCGUCUCGCUCUCCUUAUCACAGUCCUCCGCGAGCCGCUUCUUUAUCGAAGAUUCGAUCUUCGCCACUUCCUCCAGCUUAAUCGCAAUGGAGCCGACGUAGCCCACUAGCUCGACCCAGGCACUGAGGCGCUGGAGGCGUGGGAGAAGGUGCGCAGGCAGGAGCUCGGCCGUGGCGAGCCAGACGAACUGCUUGACGAAGUAGUAGAUGCCCUCACCGCCGUAGGCGAGUAGCGUGAGCGCGCGGGGGAGGGUGUGGGUGGGCGCGGAGCGCGUUGAGGGACUGCAUGAACUUGCCGAGAUGGAAAGCGCGUGGCGGCCGCGGCUGCAAGCAUGGGAUUGGGGGACUCGGAGGAGGCCAUGGAGGGCGGCGUGCGAUUGUGGGACUCGGAGGAGGCCACGACGACCGCCCCCAUUCUUCUUCUUGUCGAGAAGUUAAGGGAUAAGGGGAGGGGCAGCAAGGUCUUUUUGCGUGCCCACGCCAUGCUGGCAAGCUGAUUGGGCGUGCCCUGAAGCCAAAAUGUCUAGAAACGGGACUCUUGAUCACUUUGGCGGAUACAACGCUAGUAAAUGAGCUCGUGCCAAUCAUAAAAAUGGCAAAAAGUUAAAUAUCCAGGGGCGAUCGGAUAUGCAAUUUGGGGCGUACUCCGGAGCCUUCGCUCGGAGCCAAGCCAACGCUUCCUAGAGAUGUGCUUUGGGUCCUACGGACCUAUACUCCGGAAAUCUUUUUUUUUAACAUAGAAAACCGAAGUUUUCAUUAAACACUUCAGGUUACAAAACCCAUGGGCAGCUAAGUUGUCUGCUACCCUAUUACAUGAUCUGAAGCAGGAAGAGACUAUACAAUGCACAAAGUUAGAAAACAUAAAUUCUCGUAUCUGCUUCAGUCCAUCUCCAUCGAUGUAAGAGCAGUCCCCAAGGUUGCUGCAUCUGUCCCCAAAAUUAUUCUUGACAUGCCGAGUUGUGCCACCCGUUCUAAGCUCAUUUGGACAGCCAAGGUUUCAGCUUGCAAAGCACCAGAAACCCAGCUCAAGUUCCCAGCCCCAGCUUCAAGAAAUUCACCAUUAGAGCCCCUGAUCACAAAACCCCAUCCUCCUUGCAUUGUGGCAGCAUGGAAGGAAGCAUCAACAUUUAGGGCCUGUUGUUUUUUUUAUCAAACACUUAGGCCUUGUUUAGUUCCGAAAAGUGAAAAGUUUUCGGUACUGUAGCACUUUCGUUUGUUUGUGACAAAUAUUAUCUAAUUAUGGACUAACUAGGAUCAAAAUAUUCGUCUCGUGAUUUACAGCUAAACUGUGUAAUUAGUUUUUUUUCGUUUAUAUUUAAUGUUUCAUGCAUGUGCCACAAGAUUCGAUGUGACGGGGAAUUUUGAAAAAUUUUUGGUUUUCAGAGUGAACUAAACAAGGCCUUAUUUCCAAAACAGCUUCAUGGGUGAAGCUGUUUUUCUCCUCCUCUCACAAAGACAUAAGUUGGAUGAAGCUAGAAAAAAGUAGCUUAUUGCAGCUUCUCCCUCAUUUCUCUCUCUCAACUAUGCAUGAAGUAGUUGGUGAAGCUAUUUUGCCAAACACUUUUUCCAAAACAGCUCAGCUUCAUCUAGAAAGUCACUCAUGAAGCUAUUUUCUAAAAAAACAGCUUUACUAGUGAAGUUGAGCUGUGCCAAACAAACUCUUAAUCUGGCAGUGCCUUCCAUCUAGGAACCGACACAACCUUUCCUAGCUUCUCUUGGUUGGACAACUUUUCAAACUCCAUCAGAUAGUAAUUGGUUAUACUGCACAUCUCCAAUGGUCUAGGCAUUUUCUCCCCUCUAUUAGCUUUGUUUCGUGCUGACCACCAUCUCCAUAACAACACCAGCACUUUCAGUUGCAUCUUCCAUGGUAAAUUCCAAAUUUUCAUGAUGGUGUCUUGGCCGGGAAAACAUGAUUCCAGUUCUGAACGAAUAUUGUCCAUGUUUAGAAUCUCCCAACAUUCUCUGACUCCCUUACAUUUGAAAAAUAGAUGCCCACAAUCUUCAUCCAACCUGCUACACACUGGACAUAUAGUAUCUAAUAUUACCCCCUUUCUCUUUAAAUUCCGGCGUACUAGCAAACUGUUAUGAGCAAGGCGCCAUACAAACAUCUUCACUUUGUUUGGUAUUUGGAGCUGCAGAUCUUAUGCCACUUAAGAACAUCAUCAUUAUUUGAGUUACUGGUGAACAUGCAUCAUUCCCCAUCAUUUGGUCUCUAAGCUGAACAGCUAGCUUAUAGGCUGACUUUACUGAAAAUUUGCCCGUGGGGUCAAAAUGCCAAGCCGGCCAAUCCGUUAAACUCUCAUCAGUUGGAACUGUGAGAAUGAUUUCAGCAUCUUCAUGCCAAAAAGUAUCGGUUACCAACUAAGCAUCCCAAUGACCUGUGGUAGGAUCAGUCUCAAUAUAAGAAACCAUCACAGUUUCUAUAGUAUAGGAUACCAUACCAAGAAACUGUCUUUCUCAAUGCAUGAUUUUGUACCAAAGUCUAGUUAAUAAUUUGCCCAAUCAUUCACUGUGUUUCUCUCUCCCAUCUUUGGAUCCUUUGCGCAUUUGGCUUCUUUCUUUUGUUUCCCUCUCGUCCUCUAUUGUCCGCAUCAAGCAGCAGACGAGCUCUAUAUCAUCUCUGCCACACAGGGACAACAAGCUAGCAGCUCCAUCACAUGGAAGGAAGGUCCUCUGCUGCCGGCGUCCAAGCAGCCAACUAGCUCCAUCUCUACAACACAGCGACAGCUAGCAACUCCAUCGCCUGGGAGGAAGGAUUGUUUGGCUGCCCAUCGUCCAAGGUGCAUGGCGGCCCUCCUGUGUGUCCAUGGUCGAUGCGACGUCCAUGGCAACGUGCGACACCAUCGGGAAGGCGGUGCGGCGGCAUUGGGCCACGGACGGAGCUCCACAGCGGUGCCUACGUAGUCAAGGCAACCGGGCAGAACAUGCUUUGCCGGUUGGUAGCAUCAUCGGCAGGUCACAGUUCGUGUGCACGAUAUACUGUUUGCGGCCAUGAGAUCUAGCGUCAACGCCAUGGGAGUGGAGGAGAGGCAUGCAUGUGAGAAUGCGUGGAAUGCUCAGGGAAUAGCUCCCUUGCGGUGGCGUGUACAAUAGAGUUUGUUACAACAAGAUGGACACAUCUCCUAUCUACAAGGCAUGCCUACAUGUAGCCUUGGUGUACACAACAAGAAAGCAACAAACUAUAUCUGAUAUGUGGUCUACCAGUAACUAACAACGUACACGAAUAUCUCAUCCUUUUAACACUCCCCCUCAAUUUUAGCCACAUGAAAGAUUGAGAUGUGACUAAAAUUGUUUUAAUUUGGCAACUCUGAGAGGUUUUGUAAAACCAUCAGCAACUUGAUCGCCGGUGUGGAUAUAGCGUAUGUCAAGAAGCUUCUGAGCCACUCGCUCACGGACAAAAUGAAAAUUAAUUUCAAUAUAUUUGGGGCGAGCAUGAAACACCGGAUUUUGCUGAUAAAUAUGUUGCACCUAGAUUAUCACACCAUAGCCGAGCAACAGGAGAAUGCGGUACCCGAAGUUCAGUAAGAAGUUUCUGAACCCACAUUAAUUUAGCGAUAGCAUUAGCAAGAGCCUUGUAUUCUGCCUCUGUGCUGGAACAGGAGACAGUCGGCUGUUUCUUGGCGCACCAAGAGAUUAGAUUCUUGCCAAAGAAGACAGCAAAACCACUAGUUGAUCGACGAUCAUCGACACACCUUGCCCAGUCAGCAUCUGAGAACGCACUGACAAGACGAGAAUUAGACUUUCUCAAUGUCAUGCCAUAGUUCCAUGAUCCACGCACAAACCUCAGGAUCCUUUUAACGGCGCUCAGAUGGGAGGUAGUAGGAGCAUGCAGAAAUUGACAGACCUUGUUGACAUCAUAGCUAAUGUCAGGGCGCGUCAGAGUGAGGUAUUGCAAGGCACCGACUAAACUUCUGUAUCUGGUCGCAUUGUCAGGCACAAGUCUAUCACCCCCCUCAAUAGGGGUGAAAGUGGUGUGGAUAAUUCUCCGAACCGAUCCGAUCCAAAUCCGAAUUUUGAGAAUAUGGAGAAGAACUUUUAACAUCCAUGCGGAUACGGAUACUCCGAAUCCGAUUAUCUGCGGAUACGGGGUAGGAUAUGGAAUAGGUAAAAUCCGGCGGAUAUGGAUUAUCCGCAAAUUUUAUACGGAUUAUCCGAUGUUUAAAAUAGGAUAUCCGAAGGUUUCUCUUCCAAGACUAAAGAAUUUAGAAUUUUAAAAAGUUUGUUAGUUGAGGACUUUUAUUUUAUGAUGUUGUUGUUUAAUGUUCUAAUUUUUAAAUUAAGAAAUUUGCUGGAUACUAUUAUUUAUUGGCUAAUAACUUAUUAUUUUUUGGUGAAGAUAUCAUGUUAAGUGUUAAUUAUUAGUGUGAGAGCAGCAACAUCAAAUGCAAUGCAAGAUUAUUAUCUAUUGCCUAUUCUUGUUCUGUACUAAAUAAAUUCUUCACAAGCAUAUAAUUCUCUAUGUAUGCAUAUGUUAUUCGACUAUUAAAAUCCGUCUCCGAUCCGUUUCCGCUCCAUAUCCGUACCAGUUCCGACUACCGAAAAAAACCGUAUCCACAUCCACAUCCGUGCAUUAUCCGCUCCGUACCGAAUCCGACAAAGAAAAGCGGAUUAGGAUAUGGGAAAGACAUUAUCCGCUCCGAUCCGAUCCGUUUUCAUCCCUACCCCUCAAUACUGAGUUUAGUAGUUGUUGGCAGCGGAGUAGACACCGGUCUGCAAUCCUUCAUGCCAGCACGUGCAAGAAUAUCCACGGCAUAGCGCCCUUGAGACAGAAUCAAAGCAUCGGGAGUACGCCGGACCUCAAUGCCCAAGAAAAAAUUUAGAUCCCCCAGAUCCUUGAGUGCAAACUCUCCCUUCAGAUCAGCGAAAAGAGCAUCUGCUGCAGCUUGAGAGGAACUAGCUACGAUAAUAUCAUCCACAUAAACCAGGACAUAAACCGAGUGUGCACCCUUGUUAUAAAAGAAAAGUGAAGUAUCAGACUUGGAGGGAUGAAAACCAAGAGCAACCAGUUUGGUACAUAGACGAGCAUACCAAGCUCAAGGCGCCUGCUUCAAACCAUAUAGGGCUUUAUCCAACUUGCACACAUACUGUGGAUGUUUCUGACUCUCAUAUCCUGGUGGUUGUUGCAUAUAAACCUCCUCUUCCAAUACGCCAUGAAGAAUGGCAUUUUGCACAUCCAACUGUCUCAAAGACCAUCCUUGUGAAACCGCAAGAGAUAAAACCAGUCUGAUAGUAGCGGCCUUAACCACAGGGCUAAAAGUAUCUUCAUAAUCAAUCCUGUAUCUCUGUUUGAACCCCUUUGCUACAAGACGUGCCUUGUAACGAUCAAUGGAACCAUCAGCUUUCCGCUUGAUUUUAUAUACCCAUUUACAACCGAUGAUAUUCUUCCCUUUGGGCCGGGGAACAAGAUGCCAAGUCUUGUUAUGUUGCAAAGCAUUAUACUCAACAUCCAUAGCUCCUUUCCAAUUAGGAUUCCCAAAAGCUUCACCGACGGAAGGAUUCUCAUCUGCAUUGACAGUGGAGGACAUGCACCACCGAACAGUGCCAUCAGUGAACUGUUUUGGCUUCACAAUCCCCUACUGAAGCCGAGUAGUCGGUCGAUGUGGAGCAGUAGGCGGAGAAGGGACCACCGAAUCAGUAGAUGCACCUGAUCCUGGGGGCGACACAUCCGAUCUUAUGUCAGCUGCAGCGGUCCCCGCACCGCUGGGAUCAGUCUGUGGAGCGUCCACGCUGCUUGACGAUGAGGAGGGCACUGAGUCAGGCACAGACAAUUCGGCACCGGGCUCUGCGUCAGGCAUGGGAUCGGUACGAGGAGGGGGAUUCGCUGGCGAUCCCGACGCUGAUUCUCUGGCGCCAAUGAUAGGAGGAUCUCCCUCGGCAGCAGUGCUGCCCCCUAGCCCGGCACAUGGAAUGACGCUGGUCCGCAGCAUUUUCUUCAUUGCUUGAAGUGUCGUCUGAUCCUGCAACACCAUGACUUGGACUGGAGCUCGAGUAUGAGUUAGUAGGCAUAGAAAAAUCAUCAGUUCGAUCAUGUAAAAUUACAUCCCCAAAACUAGAUGUCAGAUUUAAAAGAACAUCAGGUAGAAGUGAUAGUUCAGAUCUUAAACGGGCACCAACAUUAGGAUGAAGGGAAGCAAAAGGAAAAACAUUCUCGUCAAAAAUCACAUCACCAGACAGAUAGACACGACCUUCUGUGGGAUCAAGGCACUUGAAGCCCUUAUGCAGAUUGCUAUAGCCUAAGAAGACACAUCUUUUGGACCUGAACUCAUGUUUUCUUGAGUUAUAUGGCCUAAGGUUCGGGCAACAGGCACUGCCAAAGGUCCGUAAGAAAGAGUAAUCAGGUUGGACUUUAUGUAGGCGAUAGAAGGGGGUGUCAUUAUUAAUGACUCGUGAAGACAGUCUAUUUAUGAUAAACACUGCGGUCAGAAAAGCUUCAUCCCAAUAUUUAAGAGGUACUGAUGCAUGUGCCAACAAGGAGAGCCCCACUUCGACAAUAUGGCGGUGCUUCCUUUCAGCAGAUCCGUUCCGCUGAUGCGUGUGAGGGCAGGAGACACGGUGUGUGAUACCCAUGCACUUGAAAAAGGAAUGCAGGGAUUGAUACUCUCCUCCCUAAUCUGUUUGGAUGGAAGGAAUUUUACGAUUCAAUUGUCAUUCAACUAGAGUUUGGAAAUCACGAAAACAUUGGAACACUUGUGAUUUGAAACGCAGCAAAUAAAUCUAGGUAUAUUUGCUAUAAUCGUCGAUGAAACUGACAUAAUAGCAAUUACGGCCAACCGAAUUUGGGGCAGGCCUCCAUACAUCAGAGUGAAUAAGGUCGAGAGGACCAGAAGAGUUGCGAGUUGAUCUAGUAUAAGGAAAUUGGUGGCUCUUGCCUAACUGACAUGUAUCACAUACAUUAUCUGAAUUCCUAACAAAGGGAAGACUGUGGCGACUAAUGACAUGCUGAACUACUUGUGAAGACGCAUGACCUAGUCAUGAGUGCCACAGGGAGACCGACGGCUUCAUGACACCGUGGGCAUGUUUAUUUGCUUGACUCGUGGACCGCUUCAAGGGAUAAAGGCCGCCUUCACAUCGGCCUGUGAGGAGUGUUCUCCUCGUCUCCAGUUCCUUACAAAAAAGUGAUUUGGACGAAAUUCGAAAAAGGCAUUGUUAUCUCGAACAAUCCGGUUAACAGAUAACAAAUUCAUACUAGCAUUUGGAACAUGAAGAAUAUUUUUCAAGUCAAUGUUUCUAGUUGGGGAAUGUAAAACACUGUGACCGAUGUGAUGAAUUUUCAUACCAGAUCCGUUUACAGCAUGGACCUGUUCACCUCCAUGGUAGCGAUCACGAGUGGUAAGCCUAUCAAGCUCACCCGUGAUAUGAUCGGUGGCGCCUGAAUCAAGAUACCAAUUGGUAUCUACUCCAUAGGAUGAGCUAGUUGCAGAGGACGCCGACUUCUGUGUUGGAGGUAUGAAGGAGGCAUCAAAACGCUUGAAGCAGUUGAUGACGACAUGACCUUCCUUCUUGCAAAGCUGACAGAAAACGACAGUUUGAAACGGAGCUCCCUGAGGGUGGCUGCCACCACGGCCGCCCUUGCCUCCAUCGCCGAAACCACCACGGCCUCCACCGCCGCGGCUGUUGACGGUCCUUAAGUAUCAAAUUUAAUCAUCAAAUAAAUAAAGAAAAGGCCCAGACUUAGGGUUUUAUCUGACAGGAUUCCACGAGUUUUGGUGUUUGUCUAUUUCUGCAGGGGGUUAUCAGGAAAUAUGGAGGAAAGGCCCACACGUUGGGUUUACAUAGAGAUAUUAACGUGUGCGCCAAUUUUCUAUCAUCUAGAAGAGUCUAGAAGCCACGGGAACGAACGGGAGGCCGAGCGGGCCCGGGGGCAGGGCGCCCGCCCUGCUACAGGAGCCAAUCAGGCUCCGCCUCGCGGAUUAUGCUCCACCGACCUAAAGGAUUAAGGAAAACCAUACGAUUAAGGUCGGUUUGAUCCGACGGCCCACAUUCAUUUGGAGGGGUUAUAUAAGUAGGACCCCUAGCCCCUGGAGGAGGCACCUCUAGAUCCCUAUUCAUUAUUCAUAGACAGAGCAAAAGCUAGGGUUUGGAGAUGAGAGCUCUCCUCUCUUCUCUAAACUAGAGUAGAUCUAGAUAGUAGCGAGAUGGAGAGUUAGGGAGGAUUGGAGGAGAGGCCGACCUGUCGGUUCUUCCUCCGGUUGUACUUCGCCAUGAUCAAGCUCUAAUCAAGCUUGCUCAUGGGAUGACUCUGGUAAUCUACUUCUAUUCCAUUAUGCAAUUACUAUCCAUGUAUGUUCUGGUUCACAACUCUUUUGAGUACUUUUAAUCUAUAGGACCUAUAGGUUAGAGUUGUAGUAUAGAUGUAAGUGUGGUGCUUAGACAUAGGUUACUUGUGGAUAUUCCCUAUCUAGCUAGAUCGUGUGGUAGGCCGCGUAGGCGACAGCUAUGUUGGUCCUCUGUAGUCCACCUCCUGUUAGCAGGACUGGUAGGGUUUAUCGGCCAAUGGAUAAGCAUCCUUUGUGGUGUAAUCUUAUCACAUGGUUCGUCCCAGACAUAGACAUACUCCUUUGAAGUAGAGAAACCAUAGUUAUCCUCUCUAUUCUCCUACCAUCGCCCAUAUAUUAGAUUGCUCUACUCUCUAUUCCCCUAUUAUCACCCAUUGUUAUCUUACCUACCAUCUUUCCUAUUUACACCUAUCUAUCUAUCUAGGUUAAGUUAGAGCAUAGAUCAGUUCUCCCGUUUCCCUGUGGAUACGAUAAAACCUUUAACCGGGUAAAAGCUACAACGGUAUCCGUGCGCUUGCGGAUUUAUCUAUGUGCGUAUAAAUACCAUAGUACAUGUUGAUAUUUGGUAACGCCAUCAGGAAAUGAUCUGCAAGCGCACGAAUAUUGGUGAGCACUUCACCCAGGAGGUUAUCUAGAGUAUCGUAUUUAUAUUUUUUCCACUGGGAGAAAGCAUGCAUCUGACUAACCAAAUCUAUUGCUACUACCCUUUAGGCUACAAAGAAUGUUUCUCGAUGUGAGUGAUAUAUAGAGAAGACUACAACCGUAAUCUCAUUCUAACCUUGGUAAGGAUGAUCUACUGUUCUAUUGGGGAGGCUCAUGGAAUCUAGACACCACAAAGGAUGUUCGACCCGCACCUAUAAACCCUAUCGAUCCUGCUAACGGGAUAUGGGCUACAAAGGUAACUCGGAAAUGUCACGUUCCUCGCUACUACCAAUGUCCAGCUAGUCAGGGGAUAUCUAUGAGUAUCCUAGCCCAAACACCACGUCUACGCUAGAGAUGAUUACUCUAAACUCUACGCGAAGAGAUUAAAGUAAACUCAUAAACCAAAGAACAAUAAAACAAGAACAUACUAGUAUUUAGAAGUCGAAAUACUGAAGAAUCCUAGGAGCAAGCUUCGGGUUAGGAGAACUUGAUCUCGUAGGUACAACCUCGGAGUAGACACCGACAGGCCGGGCUUCCUCUGAUCUACACCUCCACUCUAUCUCUCUCAAUCUAGUAGAUCUAGUCUACUCACAUUAGAUGCUAAGCCCUAAGUCUAUUUAGAGGAGAGGUUAUCCUUUGAGGGCUCCUCUCAACUCUAUGAUGAACUUGUUCUCCUCCAGAAGCCAAGGGGUCUGCUUGUAUAGUUCCCUCAAGUGAAUCUAGGCCGUCGGAUCAAACCGACAUUGAUUGAAUGGUUAUCCUUGAUCCUUUAGGUCGGUGGAGCGUCAUCCGCGAGACGGAUCCUGAUUGGACUCUGCACCAGGGCGGGCGCCCUAGCCCCGGGCCCGAUCACCUUCCUGUUCGUUCCCGUGGCUUCUGGAGUCUUCUAGAUGAUAGAAAAUUGCGCGGCACGUUAAUAUCUCUAUGUAAACCCGAUGUGUGGGCCUUUGUUCCAUAUUUCCUGAUAACCCCUUGCAGAAAUAGACAAACACCAAAACUCGUGGAAUCUUGUCAGAUAAAACCCCUAAGUCUGGGUGUUGGUUGCAUUUGGAUCCUUUUCUUUAUUUAUUUGAUGAUUAUAUUUGGUACUUAAGGACCGUCAACAACUCCCCCAAGCUUACCUCUUGCUCGUCCCUGAGCAAGGAUGGACUCAGGAGUUUUUGCAGUGGUUUCAUGCCUUAAAAGUACACAUGCAUUCAAGCAAGAUCUCAUCUCUGAGUUAGAGUAAACUGUUAAGACUUUAAACUUACUCAUUUUACCUUUCACCAUGGGGCUUGCAACUGUCACUUGUGUCUUGAGUAGUUAAAAGAUAGAACAGUCUAGUCAAGCGCCAUGUCUCUUGUUCUUUGAUUAACUAUAGCUCUAGAGUUUUUGCAGAUUUUCAAAUAAAACUCAGAGAUUCCUUGUAUGACUCUAACAAAUCUCUCUUUUGUGGUAUUUCUGGAUCCUUUCCAAGGCAGUAAUGGUAUAUGACUUCUCUCAAAGUAUGUGGUAUUUUUGGUAUGAGACAUAGUGAUAUUGCCUUCUCUCUCACCCUACUCUAAUAAGGUUUUGAUAUCUGGAGCUCAUAGGUGGGAGACAGAUAAUACAUACUUACAAGACAUUUAUUGCAUAGUCAAACCAUGGAUCCAGAAGAACAAGUCAAUAAGUGAAAUCAAGGUGUGCAUGUGUGGCGAGUGAAUGGUGUAUGGUUAUGAUGGUGAUAAUGGUAAAAACAAUGGUGAAAGUCUAAUUCUACUUUUCUCUUUUAAGGGGAUACAUACCUUUCUUGCACUUUGAAGCUUUUUGAGGAGAAUGAGAUGUUCUAUAUUUUCUUUUUCUUUUCUCUCAGGUGGGUAUCUUGUACCCCUAAUUCUACUAUCGGACACUUGUUCAUUUUUACCUCUCGUCUCACUUUUUCUUUUCUUCGAGGUUCCGGGCACUUGCCCCUUUUUAUUUCUUCGUAUUCACUUUUUCUUUUUUCUCUUCUUGUUUUAGAGCACUCAUCUCCUGAAAUAAUAUAGCAAGUGGUAGUAACCAAGAUAACUCGAGCAUUUAUUUCAUAGGGAAAAACAGAAAUAGGAGAAUGUUUUUGGCUAUUCUCUCCCGGAUUAGGAGUAGAAUAAUUUUAGGUGAAUAUGGAGAUGGAAUUGAGUGGAUGUAUGUGGAUGCGUACUUCCGGAGUAGAAGUAGCAUGUAUGAGUGAACAUGCAAGUGAAUCUUGAUUUUAACCGCAUGACAAGCUCCUAAGGGUCUACACAGCUUGACCACACUCAAUGCUCAUAAGCAGUAAAAAGUAAUUGUAUGGUUCAUAGUCUAAUAAGCAUGUAUAUAUGGCUGUGGUAGGAUUUUAAACUCUCAUCAUAUAGGAACUCAUCAUGUGUUAUUUUAAAGAUUUUCAAAGAUAAAAUUCUCCAUAAUUCUAGCAUCUCUAGGAAUAGAUAAACAGCAGCUCAACCUUCCCAUAUCAUAUCCAUUAACGACUUAGACUUUAGAUCAAGUACUCUUCCCACAAGUUCAGGUUUAGAGCAGGUUUAAAUUAUAACAGUUAUGCCUAAACUUGAGAGAGAGCUCAAACUUGAAAACUAGGUACAUGGCAGAGCAAAUAUUUAUCAUUUCCAUGUGAGAGCUUAUCAUGAGGGUUCAUAGCAAACUUUAUUUAUUUAUUUAUUUAUUUAUUUAGCAAACUAAGCAAACAACACAAAAUCUUUAUUUGGGUUUUUAUGAUUAUGCAUCUUUUUAUUAUUUGAGUAAAGUAUAAAUGUGAGUAGAACACUUAGCUAGAUAAAUGGGGGUGCUCUCCCCCAAGCUGGAUUUUGACGUAAUUUCUUCUAAUGUAGCUAGCAGGUGGCGGAGGUGUAUUUGAAUGUCGGCAGCACCCUGACAGCGAUUAGGAUGUCCUCCGUCUGCUAGUCUUCUUUGAUCCUUGAAUUCUGUGGAGCUCAAAUAGACAACAAGGCUUUGUGGAACUGGUUAAGUGUUAGCAUAAAAUCUCUUAGCCUUUAUCAUAUUGAGAUUUCUCCUAAUAAAUGUUACUCUCUUUAGUAGGAUCAUAAAUUUAUUUUUAUAUUUUUAUUUUUAUAGGACAGGAAUAUAUUUAUUUUAUUUUUACACCACCACAGUGAAUGUACUUAUGGGUUUUAUGCCAUGAGCAUACUCACAUGGGGCUUACUAUUUUUAACAUUUUUAUUUUCUUUUCAAGAUGAUAUGAACCUGAUUAACUAAGCAAACUAUUUUAAAUAAUUGAAGGGAAAAGGAUAACUACCAAGUUUACCUCUUGGCAAGGAGUUCGGUGCGGGACUCUCCGUUUUCUCCGUUGUCCUGGGAUUCGCUGGAUGGCGUAGUCGGUGGUUCCGGCGGCGCCUCCUCUUCGUGUAUGACUAUCUUCUCUCUCAACACCUGACUCGGUGCUACGGUCUCCUCAGGACAGUUCUGUUCAAAUUGUAUGUCUUUAGACCUUACCACUUCUCCUUCAUAGUCUGCCCAUCCGUCCUUGAUGAUUUGCCUCCUCUGGUUGCGGUUGCGUCGUCUUCUUCUUGUCCUGACCUGCUUGGAGUCUUCAACUAUAUAGUUAAGGUCAGUAAAAUAGCGGCGUACCUUCUCAGAGGGGAAGUGCAUGUGGACUUCUCCGGUUCCAAUGUAGAUGAUUGUUUUAAUCGUGCCGAGGAACGGUCUCCCAAGGAUGAUGGGUGGAUCAUACUUGUCUUCUCCCAUAUCAAUAACCUGGGUCGUCCUUUUUUGGUCAGGAAUGGUGACUUAAGUCGACGAUCUUGUCCUCCUUGAGCUACAGUGACCAUCUUAGCUGACUCGGUCCACAUUUGCUUAUUUCUGUUCCUCCUGUUGGUCCUCUUCCUUGGUUCAUGUCGGGAUUGCUCUGAAAUUUGUGUAGUCUUAUUCUUGAAGGAAAGUCUCCUUCUUCCUCUUGAUGUAGAAGCUGAUCUUGGCAGCACUAGCGUAGAUGACAACUCUCGAGGUGUUCAGGAAUGGUCUCCCUAGGAUGAUGGGUGCCCUCUCAUCAGUACCAGUCUCUAUCACCAUGAAGUCUGCUAGAGCAUACAAGGUACCAACUCGGACGCAGAGGUUCUUCAAUACUUCCUUUGGGAAACUUAGUGUACGAUCUGCAAGCUGAGUAGUUAGGCCUCUGUUGAUUCCAACUUUGAUUUUGUUGAGGACAAUUGUAGUAGUAGUUGUUGUUGUUGAUGUAAUUUACGUCCUCAAGCAUCUUAGGGCAGUGAUUGCCUGAGUGUCCAGUUUCUCUAGUGUGUUUGUGCUCGUAGAUCCAGGUUCUUCACUUGGUGGAGUGUGGGAGUUGUAAAACUCCUUCAUAUUUUGCUCGAAGUGUACCUGCUCAUAGAGACAAGGUAGAGAUCAAGUGUAUGGGCCCUGUUGGCGGAAAACACCAAUAGAACCAAAAGUGUAUUUGUUCUUCUCUAACCUCAAGCAUAGUGAGCAAGACAAAGUUGAUGGAUAAUAAGAUCAUGAGUGUAGCAUUUAAAACAUUUGUCAGAUCAGAUCGCUCGACCUAAUGGAAAGAUAAUCUAUCUAUAUUUAUGUUUUGUUUAUAUUUUCCAAAGAUUGAUUGUGCAACAUUUGAGCUUAUAUGAUUAGGAGUGUGGGAUCAGAAAGGUAGUACUAAGAACAAAGAUUAAAGGACUAAAUAUGUUGAAUUAAUUGGGUUGGUUAAUUUGGAGUUAUAAAUCAUACAUGUUUGUCUCUUUUAUUCAUGUGAACGCCAGAACCAAGGAGAAGCUUAUAAAAGUGAUAGUCAAGUACCUUAAGAUGUUACCUUACUUGAAGAGUGAUGGUACAGUAUCACCUUGUGGUAGCUUUCCUUUCUUAGCGGUUGUGCAUCGUGUUUGUGGC
rnacentral:lncRNA from 1 species